rnacentral:lncRNA from 1 species
GGAUGAUGGCAUGGGCGGGAGGAGGAAGAAGGGCAUCAAGGAGAAGAUCAAGGAGAAGCUCCCCGGUGGCCACGGUGACCAGCAGCACACCGGUGGCACCUACAGACAGCAGGGUACUGGCAUGGUCGGCACCGGCGGCACCUACGGGCAGAAGGGUCACACUGGGAUGACCGGCACCGGCGGCACCUACGGGCAGCAGGGUCACACUGGGAUGACCGGCACCGGCGGCACCUACGGGCAGCAGGGCCACACUGGGAUGACCGGCACCGGCGGCACCUACGGACAGCAAGGCCACACCGGGAUGGCCGGCACCGGGGCGCAUGGCACCACGGCCACUGGUGGCACCUACGGGCAGCCGGGCCACACCGGGAUGACAGGCACGGGGGCGCACGGCACCGGAGGCACCUACGGGCAGCACGGCACUGACACCGGCGAGAAGAAGGGCAUCAUGGACAAGAUCAAGGAGAAGCUCCCAGGCCAGCACUGAGCGCUGAGGAGAGCCCGCGGCCGCCACUUCUGAGAGUGGAGGUGCCGGUCGACCACCGUUGCAGAAUCAAUAAUAAGAUCGCGAUACGAUACAAUAAAAUUCCACCAUACAACGUGAGCCUAGUUCACCUAGCUCACUUGCGUGUUGGAGGAGCCACUGUAUCUAGGCUCAAGUUUACGUGAACAAACAGUGUUUUGAGUUUUUCGUCUGUUUAUUACACUGUAUAAUCUUGUAAGUUUCCUGUGGUUAAACCCUGUAUGUACGCUUUACGGUAUGGUCCUCGCGUACAGGUUAGUUCUUUAUCAAAUAAAUAAUACCGUCUUAAGAGUAGCUUAAGAGCGUCAUAUGUCUUUUCUUUUUCAAGGAAAGCCCCAUGGCGCACUUCAUUUAUUAUUAAAAAGGACUACAUCAUUGAAAACAUCACUUCUAAUAAAACUCGGGAGUAUCACCCUCCCAAAAACUAUGAAUUUGAAUCAAAAGCAUAUCUAGCAAUCUUGUGCGCCACCCCAUUAGCUUCCGUAGAACAAUGAAUAACCUUGAUAGAGCCAUGCACUUGGAAUUUGUGGAAACAUUCCAUCAGUAUAGCAGCAUAUGGACCUAGCACCUCUGUCUCACCAUUACAUACUUCAGCAAUCACCAGGCCGGUGGUUUCAAUUUUCCCCUUUUCAUUUUCGUUUUAUGAACUUCUUUCAAAUUCUCGAAUACUUGCUGAAAUCAUGAGCAUUUUUGCAAUUCAUGAAUAUAUUUUAAAAUCAUGAACAUUUUUUGAAAUAAUAAACAUUUUUCGAACACCGGACAUUUUUUUAUGAAGUCCCGAGCUUUUUCUGAAAUUGUGAAAUUAUUUAGAGUAUGCAAACAUUUUUAGGAAGUUUUCGAAUCGACGAACAGUUUUCUGAGCCGGCAAUCAUUUUUCAAAAUUUUGGUAAAAAAAUAAAUUCAUGAAUAUUGUUUUGUUUAUAUGAACAUUUUUAGAAAAUGCAUGAACAGCUUUUGAAUUCAUGAACAUUUUUUGACUCAGCGAGCAUAAUCGAUGAACCUUUUUGAAAUUGGGGAGCAAAAUUAGAAAUCAUGAUUUUAUUGAAUUUUGUUUUCUGUAUGUAACAAAAAAAAUAUAAAUUCUCCAACAUGUUCCAAAUAUGCAAUCGUUAUUUUAAAAUUAUGAAUAUAUUUUUAUUUCCUGAAUAUUUUUGUGAAAUCAUGAUUUUUUUUAUAAUAUCCAACAGUUUUAUAAAAUCACCAGAUUUUUUUGAAUUCGUGAAUAUUUUACAUUUUUCUGAGCUUUUUUGAAUUCACGAACAUUUUGUUUCGAAACUCGCAACUUUUUAAAAUUUGACAACCCCCAAUAAUUUUAAUGAAGGAAAAACAGAAACAAAAUUGAGAAAAUGAAAGGUAAGAAAACAAGCGCUUCCUAUUCAGAGAGAAAAAGGGAGAGAAUAAGGAAUGAAACUAGGAUCGAACUCCUGUCUCCAGGAUAGAAGAGUGAGCCUUAGCUACUGUGGUGCUUAUGCGCUUGUGAUAUUUAAGGAUAUCAUCGUAUAAGGGUGUGUCUGGUUGAGGAACAAACUGUCACGGAAUGAAAUGGUUCCAUUCCAGAGGAACGGGUCGGUUUCGUUCCUGUAUUUGGUAGGUGCAAAAAAGUAGAACGGGUUGGUUCCGUUUCAGUGUUUGGUUUGAAAGAAUGGAAUGAAAAAUAGAAUAACAGAAAUUCAAAAUUUUGGCAGCAUUUCAUUUGUAUUUUCAAAAAAAACAACAUAACAAUAUAUAUUGACAUAGAACUCAAUUUUCAGCAAUGAAGUAGCAAGUUCAUUUGGUACAUCCAGAAGCAAUCAGCCAUUACAUGUCUUUAACAUACAAAUAACCAAAGCAAAGUGCACUACAGCCAUACACCAUUACAUAGCAGCACAUAUUGAAAUAAAAAUUGGGUAACCAUGGAUCUGCGUACUACACAGAAGCACAUAUAUAUGAAACAAAUUGAGGAGGAACAUGGCACACAGGAAAUAAAAUCUGCCCAAACAUGAACAUAUACAGAGAUAUGCAAAGGGGUAGUGGAAACUGCACCUUGCCUCCGCUGCUAGCUGCUGAUCUAGACCUUCUGCAGCACCUCCGGUCGCCCCUACGUGGUAGCCGCCCCGCUGCUUCGUCGCUGCUCCUAGGAUCUGGAUCGUGGCCGAUCUGAUUUGUCGUUGCUGCUUGCUAGGUCGCCGCCAUGAUGCAGAUGCGCGUCAUCACAGAGGAGACGACGGGAGGAAGGUGAAGCCGGGCCGGGGAGGGAUGGAGAAGGCAGAUCGAGAGGGGGGAGAAGCGGGAGGGUGGCGGUGCUAGUCGAGGAGCAGCGAGAGAGGGGGAGAUGCGGGAGCAGCGAGAGGAAAGCGAUAGGGUACGGGUGCGGGGCGAGGGGCUCGUUCCCUGUCGUCCGGCCGAUUUCGAGGUAUGCCUCGGUUCGGCAUAAUGAGCGAAUAUUCCCUUUCCUGGGACGAGUGGGUUCUGAAUUGUUCGACUUACUAAACGCUGGAAUGGGCCGUGGGAAUGGGUCGGACCCAUGACGUUCUACCCGGUGACAACAACCAAACACACCCUAAGAACCAAAGCUGACAACGACUUUGAAAGAAAAAAAAUUGAAUCGUUUUCUUCACUUAUAGUUGAUAUAGUUAGUAAUUUAUGGCUGUUUUGGGGGUAAUUUUAGGGUGGACGGGCGAAACUCCGUCUUAGAUACAGUUGUAGAAAUACAUGAGUAAAGAGAAUAUAAAUGUUAUGAAUUUAGUUCAAAUAGAAAUGGUUGAAGACUAAUACUAGGCUUUUGCUCUAUGAUUACAUUUGAAGUCAUUUCAAGUACUGACAUGUUCACCACUAAGGGCAUCACCAAAGCGGACCCACAAAUCGCUUGCAAUUGUCUGGACUGCUCGGUCCGGGCGUGUUUUGCAUGCAACACGGGUCUAUACCGGUCUGUCGAGUGGUUCGAACAUAUUUUUUCCCGUAAAUCAGAGACGAACUGGGGGCGGGGCCGGGAGUCCAGACAACACCCAUGUAGGACUCUGACACCCCCGGCCACCCAAAACCCCACCAAAACCACUCCCGACCCCGUGCCUUCAUCCUCCCAUUUUCUCUCCCUCUGUUUUUCUCUCUUGCCUUCACCGCCGCUCCAUCAUGCAAGCAUGUGUUGCAGUUGUUCGUGGACCUACUAAACAAUGGAUCCGAAGGCCUUGUGAGAGAUGAUGACCUGUUGUGUAAUCAUCCACAAAAUGAUCAUGGAGGAUGAUGGUGAGGAUGUUGUCGUAGUUCUUGAAUUUAAGAACAUGGGUGAUCCUAUCAAACUUACAGACCAGAAUUUGUCCACAUUUGAAGAGUUUGUUGAAAUGCAUCAACAAAUUCGUCAUCGAGAAACUCACUAGCAACUGAAGUAAGAUAUGAUUAAGCAUAUUGAGCAGUUAAAGGGGACAACGAUGUUGGGUGUAAUAAUUGAACUAUUUUAAAUUAGAACUACUACUCAUUUGAACAUUUGAACUAUUCUAGACUAAAUAUAUGGCUAUUUGAGCGUGCGAACUUAAAAGAAAUUGGGCCCGGAUGUAUGCGGAUAGUGUGUUAAAUGAUCGGCUCCUGCAUCCGUGUUCACGGACUAAUCCCUGAUCACGGACGGACGCGGGAGAAAAUUUGCGAGUCAGCAUUGGAGAUGCCCUAUUAUGGCUUUGCUAUCAUCAUAUCAUCAUCAUCAUCAUUAUUAAUACUUGUACUACUACUGUUACUAUUAUUAUUAUGGAAUUUGUGGGACUAAAGUUGGAUUGCGGAUUGGAGCCAUCUUGCUCAAUAUAUUUGUGUUUUUGUUUUGUUUCUCUUCAUUACAAAUUACAUUGUUAUGAGGGAAGGUAUAUCACCCCACUCCAUCGGUCCAGCCAGUCUAACUUUAUAUCAGUAGGAUGCCUUUCCAGAGAUAGGUACCCUUGUGAUUUUCAGCUCUUACGUAUUUAUUCUACUAGAUGAUACCACACGUGUUGUUGUGGUAUUUUUUUAAAUGAAAUGCACAAUUAGGUGCUACAUAAAUAACUAAAACUAACAAAAACAAAAUUUAAAAGUAUUUUUGAUAUACACUUUAAAAACAUUAAAAAUUAUGAAGCAUAUAACAAAAGCAUAUGUCAAAGAGGAAAAAAAUAGAUUGCAACUAAAAGAGUGUCAUUCUGAAAUAAUCUAAAAUAUCUACUACAUAGGUAUGCUCCAAGCGCCCAACACAUAUAUCGUGUCCAUGAGGGCACAAAACUUAGUGCGAGAAAAUUAAUUGAUAACUUAAAUGAAUGAACAUCAUAUGAGAGGGCAGUGCUGCAUGGACAUAGUAAUGCAAAAAAUGUAACCUAUAAGUUACAUGUAUGACUUACUGAUGUGGCAUGGUUGUAUGUAGUAAAAAUAGAUAACAUGUUGUAGUUAUUUAGCAAUAGAGAAAACGAGUGUAGUUUCUAAAAAAAAGUGAAGCAUCAACUAUAUAGGUAUGCUCCAAGCAUCCAACACAUAUACCAUGUCUAAGGAGCACAAAACAUAAUGCAAAAAAUUAACUGAUGUUCUUAUAUUGCAUGAACUGAUGAUGUGACAGUGCUGCAUGCUGGAAUUUUGUCUAUUUUGGGCCUAGCCCAAUUGCAGUUACAGAAAUUCCUAAUAAAUCCUAGAGGCCCACGCCAGCCCAUUCGUGUAAGGCAAGAGGUGGAACUAAAAUUUAGUCCCACAUUGCUAGUUUAGAGGGAGUUGGACCUCUUUAUAAUGGAGGCUCUUUCUCCACAUGUAUGAGGAUGAGAACAAGAGGGACACCCACGCCACGCCACGCCUCGUCACGUCACGACGCGUUGCGGUGCGAGUUGCGGGAAUAAGCUGAGCCGAUGUCUAAAUUUUUGCCACGCACGAUGGGUAUACGAAAGGUCACUCGGAAGCUGAAACGUUUUUGCUGUAGUGGAGAUUGAAUACGAACGGCGCACCUCUUCGCCUGCUGCCUGUUCGUUUUCGUCUCCCUCGUUCUCUUCAGCUCCCGGUGCAGCCUCUCACCUCCUUCUCUUGCGCCUAUAAAAGGGAGGUCGCUCCUCUCAGAAAGACGCAUCAGAACCUCUUCUUCCUCUCGCCACAAGUUCCUGAGCACUGUGCUGCUGCUAUGUUCUUCCCCAUCCCGACUUGCGGCGUGCACCGAAGGUCGGGACAGUAGGCCUCCAAAACCGCACCUUUUGAGUCAUGUACAGAAGAAGGGUGAUAAGGUUUUUGGGGAGCGCUUCGCACGACUAUUGACUUCUUUGUCACGGACGUCCCGAACUCCGACGACUACUUCCCCAACGACGACUUCUUCCCCGACGUCGACAACCUCCUCGACGACAUGGCUGGCGAGGACACCGACCCCAAGUCCAGCUCUUCUGCUGCUGCUGUCCCGUACGCGUUCUUCCUCUUUCUAUUAGAGGCCCUGCUACAGUUCCUUGUUCUAGUGUUUGCCCUAGAUAUGUUAGACUCUGUUUCAUAUAUGCAACUUGCUAUAUUGUCUACUUUAUAUGUGUUUAGUUAUAGUUCAUAUAUGAAGAUGAUGUUUACCUUCUCUUUGUCAAAUCGCAUGACCUGUUUUAUCACUGCUAUACUAGUCGUGCUUUAUCUAGUAUUUCUGUUAAUAAAAUCAUUCGGUAAAUUGCUCAUAUUUCCAACAAUCCAAAAACCUUAUUAUAGGCAAUUUACCCCGAGUGGUUUUGCUUCUUCCAUGAAACCUCCUAUGUUUGAGGGUAUCCACUAUAAGAGGUGGCGCGUGAGAUCAGUCUUAUGGUUUCAAACCAUGAGUUGCUAUGACGCCACUCUCGGCAAACCUGAAGGAGAGCUUGAUGCUCAACAGGCACAAGCUUUUCAGAAAAUGGAUACUCUGUUUAAGGCUGCUCUCUUGAGUGUUCUUGGUGAGAACAUAGUUGAUGCUUAUGCGUCAAUUGAUAAUGGAAAAGAUAUGUGGGAUGCACUCGAGGCCAAGUUUGGGGUCUCGAAUGCUGGCACUGAGUUGUACAUCAUGGAGCAAUUCUAUGAUUACAGGAUGACUGAAGAGCGCUCCAUGGUUGAGCAAGCUCAUGAGAUACAGUCAUUUGCUAGAGACUUGAGCACUUCAGUUGUAUGCUACCGGACAAGUUUGUUGCCGGAGGUAUCAUCACUAAGCUUCCUCCUUCAUGGAGGAACUUUGCUACCUUACUGAAACAUAAGAGACAUGAGUUUUCCGUCCCGGAUCUCAUUGGCACUCUUGAUGUGGAAGAAAAGGCGAGAGCAAAGGACACACGUACUCGAGGUAUUGAGGGAGAAUCUAGUGCCAAUAUGGUAUAGAAGAAGAACUUCUAGCCCCACAAGUUCACGAACAAGGGCAAGUUUGAUGGUAAAGCAAAGUUUGAUGGGAAGAACAAGGCUGUGCAACACACGAACUUCAAGAAGAAGAAUGACAAGAAGAAAGGUGUUUGUCAUGUGUGUGGGGAUCCUGAUUAUUGGGCUCCUAGUUGCCCCAAUCGCUAUGAUAAGCGUCAUCCUGGGAAAGGCGGCAAGACCGCUAAUGUUGUCAUUGGAGACACUAAAAUGAAGGAUGCUGGACCGCAGGGACUUCAACCGUGCUGAUGGGCAACAGUUCAAGUGCUUCUAUUCGUGGUGUUGGCACGGCCAAUCUGAAGUUUACUUCGGGGAAGAUCGUGCGGCUGAAGAACAUGCAUUAUGUCCCCUCCGUCAAUAAAAAUCUUGUUAGCGGAUCUCUUCUGAGUAGAGAUGGCUACAAACUUGUCUUUGAGUCGAAUAAAUUUGUAAUAUCCAAGUAUGGAACCUUUGUUGGUAGAGGCUAUGAGUCAGGAGGACUAUUUCGUUUAUCCUUAUCAGACGUUUGAAAUAAAGUUGUUAAUCAUAUUUGCAACAAUAGUGAAUCAAAUGUGUGGCAUUCACGUCUUUGUCAUGUUAACUUUGGUUGCAUGUUGCGACUAGCGAAGUUGAACUUAAUCCCUAGUUUCACCACUGUCAAGGGAUCCAAGUGUCAAGUGUUUGUGCAAGCUAAGCAACCUCGUAACUCUCAUGUGACUACGGAAACGAGAAAUCUUGCACCACUAGAACUCAUACAUUCAAAUUUAUGUGAAAUGAAUGGGUUUUGACAAAAGGUGGAAAGAAAUAUUUCAUGACGUUAAUUAACAACUCCACUAGAUACUGCCGUGUGUAUCUUCUGAAAUCUAAGGAUGAUGCUUUGAACUUUUUCAAGAUCUAUAAAGCUGAAGUGGAAAACCAACUUGAUCGGAAAAUCAAGAGGCUUAGGUCCGACCGUGGUGGAGAGUAUUUUUCCAAUGAAUUUGAUACUUUUCGUGUUGAACAUGGUAUAAUCCAUGAGAGGACGCCUCCCUAUUCACCUCAGUCAAAUGGGGUGGCCGAAAGAAAGAACCGUACUCUAACAGAUUUGGUUAACGCCAUGUUAGACACACCGGGUCUCUCCAAGGCAUGGUGGGGGGAGGCGAUAUUGAUUGCAUGUCAUGUCCUAAACUGAGUUCCCACAAAGAAUCAAGAGAUAACUCCAUUCAAGGAAUGGGAGAAGAAAAGAUUAAAAAUCUCUUAUCUACGAACCUGGGGUUGUUUGGCGAAAGUCAAUGUGGCAAUUCCAAAGAAGCGCAAGCUUGGACCAAAGACCGUGGAUUGUGUUUUCCUGGGAUAUGCUUUUCAUAGCAUUGGUUAUAGAUUCUUGGUUGUAAAAUCUAAGGUACCUGACAUGCAUGUCGGUACGAUCAUGGAGUCGAAUGAUGCGACUUUCUUUGAAGAUAUCUUUCCAAUGAAGGAUAUGACUACCUCAUCUAAUCAGGAGAUGCCUAGUUUCGUCGAAUCAGGAACUGGUUAUAAUUACCGAACCAGCCAUUUCGAUGGAACACUUUGAAAAUCCUAUGGAGGAGAACAAUAAAGUUCCUACUAGGAGCAAGAGACAGAGGACUGCAAAGUCCUUUGGUGAUGAUUUUCAAGUGUAUCUCAUAGAUGACACUCCCAGUUCUAUUUUAGAGGCCUAUGCAUCUGAAGAUGCUGACUACUUGAAGAAGCGGUUCGUAGCAAGAUGGAUUCCAUCUUGGCGAAUGAAACUUGGGAGAUAACUUAUCGUCCUUAUGGGUGCAAACCUAUAGGAUGCAAAUGGGUAUUCAAGAAGAAGCUUAGGCCUGAUGGUACUAUUGAAAAGUACAAGGCUCGGCUCGUGGAGAAGGGUUAUACCCAAAAGGAAGGUGAAGACUUCUUUGAUACUUACUCACCUGUGGCUCGACUGACCACUAUUCGAGUUCUACUUUCACUAGCUGCCUCACAUGGUCUUCUCAUAAAUCAAAUGGAUGUUAAGACUGCUUUCCUAAAUGGAGAGUUGGACGAGGAAAUUUAUAUGGAACAACCAGAUGGGUUUGUACUAGAUGGUAAGGACGGAAAAGUGUGCAAGUUGCUGAAGUAUUUGUAUGGACUCAAGCAAGCACCCAAAUAGUGGCAUGAGAAGUUUGAAAGAAUUUUAACAGUUGCAGGCUUUGUUGUAAACAAAGUUGACAAAUGUGUGUAUUAUCGCCAUGGUGGGGGCGAGGGAGUUAUCCUUUGUUUGUAUGUUGACGACAUACUAAUUUUCGAAACAAAUCUAAAUGUUAUUAAGGAGGUCAAGGAUUUCCUAUCUCGUUGUUUUGAGAUGAAGGAUUUAGGAGUGGUUGAUGUCAUUCUGAACAUCAAGUUGUUGAGAGACGAUAAUGGUGGGAUUACAUUGCUUCAAUCUCACUAUGUGAAAAAGAUCUUGAGUCGCUUUGGCUAUAGUGACUGUAAGCCCUCUCCAACACCAUAUGAUGCGAGUGUAUUACUUCGAAAGAAUCAAAGAAUUUCUAGAGAUCAAUUGAAAUAUUCUCAUAUUAUUGGCUCACUUAUGUACUUAGCCAGUGCUACAAGACCUGACAUCUCUUUUGCUGUUAGCAAACUGAGUCGGUUUAUCUCAAAACCAGGAGAUGUGCAUUGGAAAGCUCUAGAGAGAGUUUUGCGUUAUUUGAAAGGCACUGCGAAAUAUGGAAUUCACUACACCGGGCACCCAAAGGUGCUUGAAGGGUACAGUGACUCAAACUGGAUCUCAGAUGCUGAUAAGAUAAAGGCCACGAGCGGAUAUGUAUUAACUCAUGGAGGUGGCGCUGUUUCGUGGAAGUCUUGCAAGCAGACCAUCUUAACAAGGUCAAAAAUGGAAGCAGAACUCACAGCACUAGAUACAGCUACGGUCGAAGCAGAUUGGCUUCGUCAGCUCUUGAAUGACUUGCCGAUUGUUGAGAAACCUGUACCGGGUAUCCUUAUGAACUGCGACAAUCAAACUGUAAUCACGAAAGUGAGCAGCUCAAAGGAUAACAUGAAGUCAUCAAGACACAUUCAGAGAAGGUUAAAGUUUGUCAGGAAAGUGAGAAACUCCGGAGUUAUUGCAUUGGAUUAUAUCCAAACGUCUAAAAAUUUGGCAGAUCCUUUCAGUAAGUGUCUAUCACGUAAUAUGAUAGAUAAUGCAUCGAGGGAGAUGGGAAUGAGACCCACAAUAUGAGUUGUUCAAAGUGGUAACCUAGUCUAUGUGAUUGGAGAUCCUGUGAAUUAGAUGUGGAAGAGAAGCUAUUGGUCAACUAAGAGGAGAGUAUCCUGACUAUUAAUACCACUCCAUGAAGAUGCAAUACUCUCCUAAUCUGCAUGGCAGGUUGAUGUAUAUCUUAAUGUGUUCUAAGUGGCUCUUUGAAGAAGAGAUGUUGUCCUGCAGAACAUCUUUUGAAGAACGCACCUAUAUGAGUCUAAUUGUUAAACGUCACAAUCUAUGAGAGUAGGGUUCUCUCUAGUAAACUCAUGAAAGGUCUCGGAGUAUGACGCAUAAGCUCCACCCACGGGGAAGACCCACGGUAGCCAAGUAUUCGCAAAAAACUUGCAGUUCAAGGCCCAGUCCAUUGUCCAAGUUGCUUACUAGUGUAGCAUAGAGUUCUAGGAGGAAGUUCAACUUAACAGUCUCCACUGUAGUACUGGUAUAUAAAACAGUGUUUGGAACCAAAGGCAAAUUUUGUGUGCCUUUGGGAUCUGGUGGGGGAUUGCUGGAAUUUUAUCAAUUUUGGGCCUAGCCCAAUAGCAGUUUCAGAAAUUCCUAAUAAAUCCUAGAAGCCCACUCAGCCGAUUCGUGCAAGGAAAGUGGUGGAACUAAAGUUUAGUCCCACAUUGCUAGUUUAGAGGGAGUUGGACCUCUUAUUCCACUCGCCACAAGUUCCUGAGUAUUGCGCUGCUGCUAUGUUCUUCCCCAUCCUGACUUGCGGCGUGCACCGCAGGUCGGGACAGUAGGCCUCCGAAACCGCAUCUUUUGGGUCAUGUACGGAAGAAGGGUGAUAAGGUUUUUGGGGAGCACUUCGCGCGACUACUGACUUCUUCGUCACGGACGCCUCAGACUCCAACGGCUACUUCCCCAACGAUGACUACUUCCCUGACGUCGACAACCUCCUCGACGACAUGGCUGGCGAGGACACCGACCCCAAGUCUAGCACUUAUGCUGCUGCUGUCCCGUACGCGUUCUUCCUCUUUCUAUUAGAGGCCCUGCUACAGUUCCUUGUUCUAGUGUUUGCCCUAGAUAUGUUAGACUCUGUUUCACAUAUGCAACUUGCUAUACUAUCUACUCUAGAUGUGUUUAGUUACAGUUCAUAUAUGAAGCUGAUGUUUACCUUUUCUUUGUCAAAUAGCAUGACUUGUUUUAUCACUGCUAUACUAGUCGUGCUUUAUCUAGUAUUUCUAUUAAUAAAAUCAUUGGGUAAAUUGCUCAUAUUUCCAACACUGCAUGGAUAUGCUAAUGCAAAAAUGUAACUUAGCAUGCAUGACAUGUUGAUGUGGCAUGGUUACAUGGCUAGGAAAGGAGUAGUGGUUUAUGUCACAAUUAAAUCCAAUGUGAUUUAAGACACACUUAUUGUCGGAGGGAUGAACCCCGGGCAGGCAACGGAACCUGGAUCCUCUUCAAAAAUAGUGGGGCCCGCAUCGCCCCUCAAACCGGCACGCGCCCGACCGUGUCGCUCGACCCGGCAAGGCCUGCAACCCGGAAAAACUCUCUGACCCGGCAAAGUACGUCGACCCGGCCUCAGCAACUGGCGCAUGGCAGCCGAACCCGGCACGACCAAGGCUUCCCCAACAAGCCGACCCCACCUGUGGUGUGCGUCGCAGUCCAGCCACGGGUCAAGCUCCCGUCCCAUCCAGGCCGUACGAUGGGACGAGAUCUCAAUCACCAAUGACCAAGACAACAGUGCUUCCACCCAUGCCUUUGGUCAGCCGGAGCAUGGCAACAGUGCCCCUCACCUACCCGCUGACUGGGGCUGGCGUGGCAACUGUGCUCCCGCCCUCACCGCUGACGGCAUCAAGCGGCAACCUGACAGAGAGUAUUGUACGCGACUCGACUCGGCCAUGCCCCGACGAUCGACAAGAUGGCGCACAGUCCCCCUAGCACGCGGGGCCCGCACCUAGGGGAACCCGGCGAACCACAAGCCCUCAGCGGGACACAGCCCGGCAUCCCGGACACCGACAAUACAGACCCACCGACUCGGCGUAUUACCAUUGUAACCCUGGGUGGGUUGAUCUAUAAAACACCUCAGGAACCCACACCUACAUGGGCAUGUACAAGGUAGCAUGUGAGAAACAGAUACAAGGGACAAGCAAGAAAGCAUAGGACUAGCCACCAAACCGCAACACCGGAGAGAAGGAACAGCCCAAGCCUUGGCCAGCUUCCUUCCUCCUCCAUACAGCUCCAGGAGAAACAUUGUACUAUCGAUCAUCCAACUACACUCAGCAGGACUAGGGGUAUUAUCUCUCCGGAGAGCCCCAAACCUGGGUAUGUCCGGUGUCCCGUGCCCACUCAUGCCAACCUCGCCUCUGGAGCCCACCAGCGCCCUCGAGCCUCCUCCUCUCUUUAGCCAUCCCUUGGCAUCUGCUGUGCACCCACCACGACAGUUGGCGCCCACCAUGGGGCAGCUCAAGGAGCUAGCCGGGAGCAUGCUUUAGAUGGGGCCCUUCUCCUACACCGACGAGUCCGUCGUGCUGGCGGACGAUGUUGUCGGCGUGCUUACCGCCUCCUUCGCCGCACUGCGCAUCUCCGAUGCGUUCGUGGCUGAUGAGUACCCCAGCGAGGUGCUUAGCUACUCCGACUCGCCGCUCUCCCUGGGCGGUGGCAUUGCCGCCGGGGCGAUGGACGUCCAUGUGGAGGUUUACGUCACCGACGAUGGCGCCUCCUCCUCGUCGAGCAAGACGAGGAAGGCCGUGGAAGCCAGGGCCACUGCGGAAUGGACCGAGCCGUCCGAUCCGCUGUGCACUGCGAUGCAGAGCCUCCGCACCCCCAUCGGCACCGACGUCGACGCCACCAACGUCGCCGAGGCCUGAUCUUAGCUCGAGGAAAGGCGCCAGCAGAUGUUGGACCUGUCUGAGACGCUCGCCGCCACCAAGCGGCGCCUGGAGUCCGCUUAGAUGGAGAAUGAUGCCGCCCACGGAUUCACGCCUGCCACGGCUGAGCCAAGUCGGGUCGCCAAUGUGCGUACCCGGGGAGGAGCGAUUGGUUGGGCCCUCGGCGCCGUCCGAACCGUCUACGAGACCCCAGUGAAGAACAUGCGCGCUGCAGAGGCAGCCGCGGUCGGCAUGGACCAGCUCACGGGUGAGGAGCUGAAAGAGCGCAUUGGGCGGAUGCGAGCUCCUCCACGUCGCCAACACCCAGCAGGAUUGCCUCAACCAGUUCGCCAAGCCGAUGGGAUCCAGCUCCGCCCACCUUGGUGGACCCGAUGAACUUCUGCACACAGCUUCCUCGCCGCCCGGCGAGGCGCACUCGGCCAAGCCCAUACUCGGCGCAACCCGGCCGCCACAGCCGCCGCUGUCCUGGGCAACGAGCCCGCCGCGGAGACCUAGCGUGGACCCGGCCAGCAUGGUCGGCGUCCGGCUCCAACUGACCUGGCCCCUCGGGGCCCGGCCGCCAGUCGACUCGGCCCGCGCGCCAUCGAUGACGCAGACGCUCGCCACCGCCUCGAUCAGCUCGCUCGCUCCCUGGAGGUGGAGGAGAGCGGCGCUAUCAGACCGGCGUGCUUCGGCCCAUGCAUCCGGGAGGAGCCCUUCCCCAAAGGGUUCGUGCUCCCCCGCGACACCCCCAAGUACAAUAGGACUGUAAAGGCGGAAGACUGGCUCACCGACUAUACCACGACCAUUGGCAUCACCAAUGCCAAUCGCCAUCUCGCCGUGUGCUACGCACCGCUCACACUCCAGGGGUCGGCCCGCACGUGGUUGAACAGUCUGCCGAUGGGCAGCAUCAAUGUGUAGGUCGACUUUGAGGAGGCCUUUGUUCGCAACUUCGCGGGGACCUACAAGCGACCCGGUCGCCCUAGCCAACUCGCCAUGUGCGUGCAGGGGCCGACGGAGACCGGUCGCAAGUACCUCGCACGCUGGACCGAGCUCCGAAACAGCUGCGAGGGCGUCCAUGAAGUCCAGGCGAUCCAGUACUUCGUCAGCGGGUGCCGAGACGGCACCCUCCACAAGCACAAGCUCUUGCGCUCCGAGCUGGCCAUCAUGGCCGCACUCAUGGUGACGGCGGACAAGUACGCCAACGCUGACUCCGCCAUGAAGAUCCAGGUGGCGCUGGAUGAAGCCGGCAAUGCGAAGCCGGUUCCUCCCUCGAAGCCGGCCGGUGAAAGCAGCCGGCAGCAGCAUCACCAGAACAACAAGCGCAAGGCCGACCAGCCGGCGCAGCGUCACGACAACCGGCAUGUUGCGGCCGCCGAGCCUGUGAAGGACCCGGUGGCGAAGCGUCGGAAGACCGGCAAGAUGGCGUGGCAACCCGCCAUGAGUUUCGAAGAAAUGCUCGACGCCCCAUGCAAGCACCACAACGGCGCAAGACCCUCCACGCACACGCUUUGGCAGUGUGCCAUCACCAAGUGCAUCAUGAGGGGAGACGUCCCGCCUCCUCCGGCUCCGGCUCCAGCUCUAGGCGCGGGACAGCCGCCUCCGCCUCCACCGCCGCCUCCCGCUGGUGGCGCGAUGCGGAACGACGCCUACCCGAACCAGAACGCGGCCUAUGUCGUCUUCACCAGCCUCGGCAACGACAAGUGCAGCGAGCGCCUUCUUCGGCAGGAGGUGAACACCGUCGUCCUGGCCAAGCCGGAGUUCAUGCACUGGUCGGAUCGCCCGAUCACCUGGAUCCGGGAGGAUCACCCAGCAGUCAUGCCGAGUCCGGGUGGUUACGCCCUCAUCCUCAACCCCACCAUCGUCGCGUGGUGCACAUGCAAGUUCUCCCGGGUCCUCAUCAACGGCGGCAGCAGCAUCAACAUCCUCUACCGCGACACGAUGACCAAGCUCGACCUCAAGGACGAGGACCUGGAGCCGGCCCGGACAAUCUUCCACGACAUCGUUCCCGGCCUCUCCUGCUCUCCCAUUGGUCGGGUCCGGCUCGAUGUCCUAUUCGGCGACAACAGCCACUUCCGACGCGAACCGAUCUGGUUCGAGGUGGUGGACCUGUCCAGCGCAUAUCAUGCAUUGCUGGGUCGGCCCGCGCUCACCAAGUUCAUGGCGGUUCCCCACUACGCGUACCUGAAGAUGAAGAUGUCGGGUCCCAAGGGCCUCAUCACCGUCACCGGCGACUACCGCAAGUCCCUGGAGUGUGCCCGAGAUGGUGCCAAGUUGGCCGAGUCGCUGGUCAUUGCCGAGGAGCGGUGCCAGCUCGACCGGAUUGUCGCCCUGGCAGGCGAGGCCUCCGCAGCAUCGAUCCCGACCCCGGACCCGGCCGACGAGGCCGCCUUCAAGCCCUCCAAGGAGACCAAAAAGUGAAGCUCAACCCAGAAGACCCCAGCUGCAGCAAGUAUGUUAUCGUAGGCGCCCUCCUCGACAGCAAAUAGGAAGGUGAGCUCGUCGACUUCCUCCGUGAGAAUCGGGAUAUCUUCGCACGGACCCCCAAGGACAUGCCGGGUAUCCCGAGGAAGUACGCCGAGCACAAACUUCACGUCUGCAAGGACGCCAAGCCUGUCCAUCAACCCCCACGACAAUUUUCCAAAUAGAAGAGAAGAACCAUUGGUGAAGAGGUCGCCAAGCUUUUGGCGGCCGGCUUCAUAAUGGAAGUGUUUCACCCCGAGUGGCUGGCCAAUCCAGUCCUCGUCCUGAAGAAAAACAAGACCUGGCGCAUGUGUAUUGACUACACCAGCCUCAACAAGGCCUAUCCCAAGGAUCUGUUUGCUUUCCCACGGAUCGACCAAGUCAUCGACUCGACCGUCGGGUGCGAGCCCCUGUCCUUCCUGGACGCUUACUCCGGCUACCACCAGAUCAAGCUGGACCCGGCCGAUGCCCUGAAGACGUCCUUCAUCACGCCCUUUGGGGCGUAUUGCUACAUCACCAUGUCGUUCGGCUUGAAGAACGCCGGCGCCACCUUCCAACGCUGCAUGCAGAAGUGCCUACUGCCGCAACUCGGCCGCAAUAUCCACAUGUACGUGGACGACAUCGUGGUGAAGACCAAGCAGCACCUCAUGCUCCUCGAUGAUUUGAAGGAGACAUUCACCAACCUCCACGAAUACAAGGUCAAGCUUAACCUAGAAAAAUGCGUUUUCGGCGUCCCCACUGGAAAGCUACUCGGCUUCCUCGUCUGGGAACGUGGCACUGAGGCGAACCCGGAUAAGAUCAAGGCCAUCGAGCUCAUGCGCAGACCAGCUCGGCUGCGCGACGUCCAGAAGUUCACCGGGUGCUUGGCCUUGGUCAGCCGGUUUCUAAGCCGGCUGGGCGAGAGGGCGCUACCCCUGUACCAACUGAUGAAGAAGACAAGCCCGUUCAAAUGGAACGGCAAGGCAGACGAGGCCUUCCAAGACCUCAAGCGCAUGCUCUCCACCGCACCAGUCCUGGCCGCGCCGACCGGCAAGGAGCCGCUGUUGCUCUACAUUGUCGUGACCUCGCGGGUGGUGAGCACUGUGCUGGUGGUCGAGCGACCAGAGAAGGGCAAGAUCCAAGUCGUCCAGCAUCCAGUCUACUACCUGAGCGAGGUGCUCUCCAUAUCCAAGCAGAACUACCAGCACUACCAGAAGAUGUGUUACGGCGUGUACCUCACCGCCAAGAAGCUGAAGCAGUACUUACAAGAGCACGUCGUCACCGUCGUCAGCACGACGCCUAUCGGAGAAAUCAUCGGGUGCCGGGACGCCUCUGGCCGGGUCGCCAAGUGGGCGAUCCAGCUAGCCGUUCGCACCAUCCUCUACGAGCCCCGCACCACGAUCAAGUCUCAAGCCCUGGCCGACUUCCUCGUCGACUGGACCGAGACCCAGUACUUGCCGCCGCCUCCCGACUCGACGCAUUGGCGCAUGCACUUCGACGGGUCCAAGAUGCGACUCUGCUUGGGGGCCGGCAUCGUACUGUCAUCCCCGAAGGGCAACCGGCUCUGCUACGCGCUCCAGAUCCACUUUGCUGCCUCCAACAACGUCGCCGAAUAUGAAGCCCUUAUGCACGGCCUCUGGCUUACCAAGGAACUCGGCAUCCAGCGCAUUCCGUGCUACGGUGACUCGGACAUGGUGGUGCAGUAGUGCUCCGGCGAAUGGGACGCCCGCGACUCCAACAUGGCAAGCUACCGAUUACUCGUCCAGAAGAUGUCCGGAUCCUUCGAGGGCUGUGAGUUCCUCCAUGUCCCGCGCAUGGAGAACGAAGCAGCCGACACGCUCGCCAAGAUUACCUCAUCACGACAAGCCAUCCCGUCUGGCGUCUCCCUCGAGCACCUACGCAAGCCGUCCGUCAAGCCAUCGCCGGACUCCGAGUCCAUUCAUGUUCCAGACGACCCGGCCGCACCUCAAGCCGGCCCGGGGACUGCUGAACCCGGCCCGGGGGCUGCUCAGCUCAACCUGGCCACCGUCAACCCGGACCCGGCUGUCGCCAUCCCCGACCCGGGGCUGCUCAACCCGGCUCGGGGGCUGCCGGCUCGGAACCCACCCUGGUGGCCGUCUUCUGUUGGGGAUCGUUGCAGAAAUAAAAAAAAUCUACGCAUCACCAAGAUCAAUCUAUGGAGAGACUAGCAACGAUAGAGAGGGGAGUGCAUCUUCAUACCUUUGAAGAUCGCUAAGCAGAAGCGUUACAAGAACGCGGAUGAUGGAGUCGUACUCGUGGCGAUUCAAAUCGUGGAAGAUCCGAUCUAGCGCCGAACGGACGGCGCCUCCGCGUUCAACACACGUACAGCCCGCGGACGUCUCUUCCUUCUUGAUCCAGCAAGGGGAGAGGAGAAGUUGAGGGAGAACUCCGGCAGCACGACGGCGUGGUGGUGGAGCUUGCAGUUCUCCGGCAGGGCUUCGCCAAGCACCACUGAGGAGGAGGUGGAGUUGGAGAGGGGGAGGGCUGCGCCAGGGGCAAGCGUGAAGCUCCCAUGCGCCUCCCCACUAUAUAUAGGGGUGGAGGGGGCUGGUUUCUUGCCCUCCAAGUCCAUUGGGGCGUUGGCAAAGGUGGGAGGAAAGAAAUCCCAUCAUUUCCUUCCCCACCGAUUGUUAUCCCCCCUUUAUAGGGAUCUUGAUCUUAUCCUUUCGGGAUAUGAUCUUAUUCCUUCUGAGGGGGGAUCUUGGUGCGCCUUGACCAGGGGUGUGGGGCCUUGCCCUCACUACCCACGUUCAUGUGGGUACCUCCCAUGCAGGUGGGCCCCACUCCAGAACCUUCUAGAACCUUCCCGGUACAAUACCGAAAAAUCCCAAACAUUUUCCGGUGGCCAAAAUAGGACUUCCCAUAUAUAAAUCUUUACCUCCGGACCAUUCCGGAACACCUCGUGACGUCUGGGAUCUCAUCCGGGACUCCGAACAACAUUCGGUAACUGCACACUAAUUCCCAUAACAACUCUAACGUCACCGAACCUUAAGUGUGUAGACCCUACGGGUUCGGGAAUCAUGCAGACAUGACCGAGACAGCUCUCUGACCAAUAACCAACAGCAGGAUCUGGAUACCCAUGUUGGCUCCCACAUGUUCCAUGAUGAUCUCAUCGGAUGAACCACGAUGUCAAGGAUUCAAGCAAUCCCGUAUACAAUUCCCUUUGUCAAUCGGUACGUUACUUGCCCGAGAUUCGAUCGCCGGUAUCCCAAUACCUCGUUCAAUCUAGUUACCGGCAAGUCACUUUACUCAUUCCGUAAUGCAUGAUCCCGUGACUAACUAAUUAGUCACAUUGAGCUCAUUAUGAUGAUGCAUUACCAAGUGGGCCCAGAGAUACCUCUCAUUCAUCGGAGUGACAAAUCCCAGUCUCGAUUCGUGCCAACCCAAUAGACACUUUCAGAGAUACCUGUAGUGCACCUUUAUAGCCACCCAGUUAGGUUGUGACGUUUGGUACACCCAAAGCAUUCCUACGGUAUCCGGGAGUUACACAAUCUCAUGGUCUAAGGAAAUGAUACUUGACAUUAGAAAAGCUCUUAGCAAACGAACUACACGAUCUUGUGCUAUGCUUAGGAUUGGGUCUUGUCCAUCACAUCAUUCUCCUAAUGAUAUGAUCCCGUUAUCAAUGACAUCCAAUGUCCAUGGUCAGGAAACCAUAACCAUCUAUUGAUCAACGAGCUAGUCAACUAGAGGCUCACUAGGGACAUGUUGUGGUCUAUGUAUUCACACAUGUAUUACGGUUUCCAGUUAAUACAAUUAUAGCAUGAACAAUAGACAAUUAUCCUGAACAAGGAAAUAUAAUAAUAACCAUUUUAUUAUUUCCUCUAGGGCAUAUUUCCAACAGUCUCCCACUUGCACUAGAGUCAAUAAUCUAGUUCACAUCAUUAUGUGAUUGUAAUUAAUCCAACAGCCAUGGUGUUUGAUCAUAUCUCGCUUGUGAGAGAGGUUUAUUAGUCAACAGGUCUGAACCUUUCAGAUUCGUGUGUGCUUUACAAAUAUCAAUGUCAUCUUGUAGAUGCAGCUUCCACGCGCUACUUGGAGCUACUCCAAACAACUGCUCUACUAUACGAAUCUGGUUUACUACUCAGAGUCAUCCGGAUUAGUGUCAAAGUUUGCAUUGACGUAACCCUUUACGAAGAACUCUUUUACCACCUCCAUAAUCGAGAAAAUUCCUUAGUCAACUAGUUACUAAGGAUAAGUUUGACCACUGUCAUGUGAUCCAUUCCUGGAUCACACUUGUACCCCUUGACUGACUCAUGGCAAGGCACACUUCAGGUGCGGUACACAACAUAGCAUACUUUAGAGCCUACAUCUGAAGCAUAGGGGACGACCUUCGUCCUUUCUUUCUCUUCUGCCAUGGUCAGGUCUUGAGUCUUACUCAAUAGUCACACCUUAUGACAUAGCCAAGAACUCCUUCUUUGCCGAUCUAUUUUGAACUCCUUCAAAAUCUUGUCACGGUAUGUAUUCAUUCGAAAGUACUAUUAAGCGUUUUUUGAUCUAUCUUUAUAGAUCUUGAUGCUCAAUGUUCAAGUAGCUUAAUCCAGGUUUUCCAUUGAAUAACACUUUUCAAAUAACCCUAUAUAAUGUCCAGAAAUUCUACAUCAUUUCUGAUCAACAAUAUGUCAAUAACAUAUACUCAUCAGAAAUUCUAUAGUGCUCCCACUCACUUAUUUGGAAAUACAAGUUUCUCAUAAACAUUUCAUAAACCCAAAAUCUUUGAUCAUCUCAUCAAAGAGUAUAUGCUUACUCCAGUCCUUAGAAGGAUUGCUGGAGCUUUGCAUACUUGUUAGCAUCUUUCAGGAUUGAAAAAACCUUCUGGUUGUAUCACAUACAACCUUUCCUCAAGAAAAUUGUCGAGGAAACAAUGUUUUGACAUCCUAUCUGCAAGAUUUCAUAAAUAAUGCAGUAAUUGCUAAUAUAAUUCCAACAGACUCUUAGCAUUGCUACGAGUGAGAAAGUCUCGUUGUAGUCAACUCCUUGAACUUGUUGGAAAACAUCUUAACGACAAGUCGAGCUUUCUUAAUGGUGAUACUUACCAUCAUUGUCCGUCUUCCUUUUAAAAUCCGUCUGUACCCAACAGCCUUACGACCAUCAAGUAGUUCUUCCAAAGUCUACAUGUUGUUUUCAUACAUGGAUCCUCGGCCUCGAGCCAUUUUCGGAAUCUGGGCCCACCAUCGCUUCUCCAUAGCUCGUAGGUUCAUUGUUGUCUAGCAACAUGACCUCCAAGAUAGGAUUACCGUACCACUCUGAAGCAGUACAUGUCCUUGUCGUCCUACGAGGUUUCGUAGUGACUUGAUCUGAAGUUUCAUGAUCACUAUCAUCAACUUCCACUUCAAUUGGUGUAGGUGCCACAGGAACAACUUCCUGUGCCCUGCUACACACUGGUUGAAGUGAUGGUUCAAUAACCUUAUCAAGUCUCCACCAUCCUCCCACUCAAUUCUUUCGAGAGAAACUUUUCCUCGAGAAAGGACCCGUUUAUAGAAACAAUCAGUUUUGCUUCCAGAUCUGAAAUAGGAGGUAUAACCAACUGUUUUGGGUGUCCUAUGAAGAUGCAUUUAUCCACUUUGGGUUCGAGCUUAUCUGCCUGAAACCUUUUCACAUAAGCGUCGCAGCCCCAAACUUUCAAGAAACGACAACUUAGGUUUCUCUAAACCAUAGUUCAUAGGGUGUCAUCUCAAUGGAAUUACGUGGUUCCCUAUUUAAAGUGAGUGCGGUUGUCUCUAAUGCCUAACCCAUGAACGAUAGUGGCAAUUCGAUAACAGACAUCAUGGUAUGCCCCAUAUCCAAUGGGGUGUAUCUAUCAUGUUCGGACACACCAUCACACUAUGGUGUUCCAGGCGGUGUUAGUUGUGAAACAAUUUCCACAAUGUAUUAAUUGUGUACCAAACUCGCAACUCAGAUAUUCAUCUCUAUGAUCAUAUCAUAGACAUUUUAUCCUCUUGUCACGAAGAUCUUCAACUUCACUCUGAAACUACUUGAACCUUUCAAUAAUUCAGACUUGUGUUUCAUCAAGUAAAUAUACUCAACAUCUACUCAAAUCAUCUGUGAAGUAAGAACAUAACGAUAUCCACUGCGUGCCUCAGCACUCAUUGGACUGCACACAUCAAAAUGUAUUACUUCCAACAAGUUGCUUUCUUGUUCCAUCUCACUAAAAACGAGGCCUUUCAGUCAUAUUGCCCAUGUGGUAUUAUUUGCAUGUCUCAAGUGAUUCAAAAUCAAGUGAGUCCAAACGAUCCAUUUGUAUGGAGUUUCUUCAUGCAUAUAUACCAAUGGACAUGGUUCGCAUGUCUCAAUCUUUUCAAAAACGAGUGAGUCCAAAGAUCCAUCAACAUGGAGCUUCUUCAUGCGUUUUAUAUCAAUAUGACUCAAAUGGUAGUGCCACAAGUAUGUGGUACUAUCAUUACUAUCUUAUAUCUUUUGGCAUGAACAUGUGUAUCACUAUGAUCGAGAUUCAAUAAACCAUUCAUUUUAGGUGCAAGACCUUUGAAGGUAUUAUUCAAAUAAACAAAGUAACCAUUAUUCUCCUUAAAUGAAUAACCAUAUUGCGAUAAACAUAAUCCAAUCAUGUCUAUGCUCAACGCAAACACCAAAUAACAAUUAUUUAGGUUUAACACCAAUCUCGAUGGUAGAGGGAGCAUGCGAUGCUUGAUCACAUCAACCUUGGAAACACUUCCCACACAUAUCUUCAUCUCACCUUUAGCUAGUCUCCGUUUAUUCCGCAGCUUUUAUUUUGAGUUACUAACACUUAGCAACCGAACCGGUAUCUAAUACCCUGGUGCUACUAGGAGUACUAGUAAAGUACACAUUAAUAUAAUGUAUGUCCAAUAUACUUCUGUCGACCUUGCCAGCCUUCUCAUCUACCAAGUAUCUAGGGUAGUUCUGCUUCAGUGACCGUUCCCUCAUUCCAGAAGCACUUAGUCUCAGGUUUGGGUUCAACCUUGGGUUUCUUCACUAGAGCAGCAACUGAUUUGCCAUUUCAUGAAGUAUCCCUUCUUGCCCUUGCCCUUCUUGAAACUAGUGGUUUUACUAACCAUCAACAAUUGAUGCCCGUACUCAAUUUCUACUUUCACGGUGUCAAACAUCACGAAUUGCUCAAGGAUCAUCAUGUCUAUCCCUGACAUGUUAUAGUUCAUCACGAAGCUCUAAUAGCUUGGUGGCAGUGACUAUGGAGAACCAUCACUAUCUCAUCUGGAAGAUUAACUCCCACUCAAUUCAAGUGAUUGUAGAACUCUGACAAUCUGAGCACAUGCUCAAUGAUUGAGCUUUUCUCCCUUAGUUUGCAGGUUAAGAAACUCGUCAGAGGUCUCAUACCUCUUGACGUGGGCACUAGCCUGAAAUCCCAAUUUCAGCCCUUGGAACAUCCUCUAUGUUCCGCGACGUUUCAGAAAUCGUCUUCGGCGCCUCAAUUCUAAACUGUUUAACAUUACUGAACUAUCACAUAGUCAUCAAAACGUGUAUGUCAGAUGUUUGCAACAUCCACAUACGACGUUUGAGGUUCAGCACACCGAGCGGUGCAUUAAGGACAUAAGCCUUCUACGCAGCAAUGAGGACAAUCCUCAGUUUACAGACCCAUUCCGCAUAAUUGCUACUAUCAACUUUCAACUAAAUUUUCUCUAGGAACAUAUCUAAAACAGUAGAACUAAAGCGUAAGCUACGACAUAAUUUGCAAAGACCUUUUGACUAUGUUCAUGAUAAUUAAGUUCAUCUGAUUAUUUAAUGAACUCCCACUUAGAUAGACAUCCCUCUAGUCAUCUAAGUGAUACAUGAUCCGAGUCAACUAGGCUGUGUCCGAUCAUCACGUGAGACGGACUAGUCAUCAUCGGUGAACAUCUUCAUGUUGAUCAUAUCCACUAUACGACUCAUGUUCGACCUUUCGGUCUCUUGUGUUCCGAGGCCAUGUAUGUACAUGCUAGGCUCGUCAAGUCAACCUAAGUGUUUCCCGUGUGUAAAUCUGGCUUACACCCGUUGUAUGUGAACGUUAGAAUCUAUCACACCCGAUCAUCACGUGGUGCUUCGAAACAACGAACUUUCGCAAUGGUGCAUAGUUAGGGGGAACACUUUCUUGAAAUUAUUAUGAGGGAUCAUCUUAUUUACUACCGUCGUUCUAAGCAAAUAAGAUGCAUAAACAUGAUAAACAUCACAUGCAAUCAAAUAGUGACAUGAUAUGGCCAAUAUCAUUUUGCUCCUUUUGAUCUCCAUCUUCGAGGCUCCAUGAUCAUCAUCGUCACCGGCAUGACACCAUGAUCUCCAUCAUCAUGAUCUCCAUCAUCGUGUCUCCAUGAAGUUGUCUCGCCAACUAUUACUUCUACUACUAUGGCUAACGGUUUAGCAAUAAAGUAAAGUAAUUACAUGGCGUUAUUUAAUGACACGUAGGUCAUACAAUAAAUUAAGACAACUCCUAUGGCUCCUGCCGGUUGUCAUACUCAUCGACAUGCAAAUCGUGAUUCCUAUUACAAGAGCAUGACCAAUUUCAUACAUCACAUAGCAUUCAUCACAUUCUUUUGGCCAUAUCACAUCACAUAGCAUACCCUGCAGAAACAAGUUAGACGUCCUCUAAUUGUUGUUGCAUGUUUUACGUGGCUGCUAUGGGUUUCAAGCAAGAACGUUUCUUACCUACGCAAAAGCCACAACGGUGAUAUGCCAAUUGCUAUUUACCCUUCAUAAGGACCCUUUUCAUCGAAUCUGAUCCGACUAAAGUGGGAGAGACUGGCACCCGUUAGCCACCUUAUGCAACAAGUGCAUGUCAGUCGGUGGAACCUGUCUCACGUAAGUGUACGUGUAAGGUCGGUCCAGGCCGCUUCAUCCCACAAUACCGUCGAAAAAAGAUAGGACUAGUAACGGUAAGCAUAUUGAACAAAAUGAACGCCCACAACAACUUGUGUUCUACUCGUGCAUAGAAUCUACACAAUAGACCUAGCUCAUGAUGCCACUGUUGGGGAUCGUUGCAGAAACUAAAAAAAAAUCUACGCAUCACCAAGAUCAAUCUAUGGAGAGACUAGCAAUGAUAGAGAGGGGAGUGCAUCUUCAUACCUUUGAAGAUCGCUAAGCACAAGCAUUACAAGAACGCGGAUGAUGGAGUCAUACUCGUGGCGAUUCAAAUCGCGGAAGAUGCAAUCUAGCACCGAACGGACGGCGGCUCCGCGUUCAACACACGUACAGCCAGGGACGUCUCCUCCUUCUCGAUCCAGCAAGGGGAGAGGAGAAGUUGAGGGAGAACUCCGGCAGCACGACGGCGUGGUGGUGGAGCUUGCAGUUCUCCGGCAGGGCUUCGCCAAGCACUACUGAGGAGGAGGUGGAGUUGGAGAGGGGAGGGCUGCGCCAGGGGAAAGGGUGAAGCUCCCAUGCACCUCCCCACUAUAUAUAGGGGUGGAGGGGGCUGGUUUCUUGCCCUCCAAGUCCAUUGGGGCGUUGGCAAAGGUGGGAGGAAAGAAAUCCCAUCAUUUCCUUCCCCACCGAUUGUUAUCCCCCCUUUCUAGGGAUCUUGAUCUUAUCCUUUCGGGAUAUGAUCUUAUUCCUUCUGAGGGGGGAUCUUGGUGCGCCUUGACCAGGGGUGUGGGGCCUUGCCCCCACUAUCCACGUUCAUGUGGGUCCCCCCAUGCAGGUGGGACCCACUCUAGAACCUUCUAGAACCUUCUCGGUACAAUACCGAAAAAUCCCGAACAUUUUCCGAUGGCAAAAAUAGGACUUCCCAUAUAUAGAUCUUUACCUCCGAACCAUUCCGGAACUCCUCGUGACGUCUGGGAUCUUAUCCGGGACUCCAAACAACAUUCGGUAACUGCAUACUAAUUCCCAUAACAACUCUAGCGUCACCGAACCUUAAGUGUGUAGACCCUACGGGUUCGGGAAUCAUGCAGACAUGACCGAGACAGCUCUCUGGCCAAUAACCAACAGCGGGAUCUGGAUACCCAUGUUGGCUCCCACAUGUUCCAUGAUGAUCUCAUCGGAUGAACCACGAUGUCAAGGAUUCAAGCAAUCCCGUAUACAAUUCCCUUUGUCAAUCGGUAUGUUACUUGCCCGAGAUUCGAUCGCCGGUAUCCCAAUACCUCGUUCAAUAUCGUUACCGGCAAGUCACUUUACUCGUUCCAUAAUGCAUGAUCUCGUGACUAACUACUUAGUCACAUUGAGCUCAUUAUGAUGAUGCAUUACCGAGUGGGCCCAGAGAUACCUCUCCGUCAUCGGAGCGACAAAUCCCAGUCUCGAUUCGUGCCAACCCAACAGACACUUUCAGAGAUACCUGUAGUGCACCUUUAUAGCCACCCAGUUACGUUGUGACGUUUGGUACACCCAAAGCAUUCCUACGGUAUCCGGGAGUUACACAAUCUCAUGGUCUAAGGAAAUGAUACUUGACAUUAGAAAAUCUCUUAGCAAACGAACUACACGAUCUUGUGCUAUGCUUAGGAUUGGGUCUUGUCCAUCACAUCAUUCUCCUAAUGAUGUGAUCCCGUAUCAAUGACAUCCAAUGUCCAUGGUCAGGAAACCAUAACCAUCUAUUGAUCAACGAGCUAGUCAACUAGAGGCUCACUAGGGACAUGUUGUGGUCUAUGUAUUCACACAUGUAUUACGGUUUCCAGUUAAUACAAUUAUAGCAUGAACAAUAGACAAUUAUCAUGAAUAAGGAAAUAUAAUAAUAACCAUUUUAUUAUUGCCUCUAGGGCAUAUUUCUGACAUCUUCGCCAUGGUUACAGCUCCAUCUUGGGCCCUCCCAAUAUCAGAAUUUCUGGAGAACGGGGUUCUCCCCAUGGACAAGACCGAAGCUCGACAGGUGCAGCGCCGGGCGUCCGCCUACAGCAUCAUCAACAACGAGCUCGUCAAGCGCAGCUCCACCGGUGUUUUCCAGUGUUGCGUCGAGCAGGAACAUGGCAUCGACAUCCUCCUCGACAUCCACCAGGGCGAGUGUGGGCACCACGCCGCAUCGAGAUCCCUGGUGGUCAAGGUGUUCCACCACGGUUUCUACUGGCCCAUGGCCCUCGAAGACGCCGAGUCGCUCGUUCUCAAGUGUGAAGGGUGCCAGCGCUUCAGCAAACGCAGCCACCAGCCGGCGUCAGCACUCCGCACCAUACUGAUCGCCUGGCCCUUCGUGGUCUGGGGACUCGACAUGGUGGGACCCUUCAAAACCGCUCGAGGCGGCAUGACGCACCUGCAUGUGGCAGUGGACAAAUUCACCAAGUGGAUCGAGGCAAGACCAAUCAAGAAACUGGACGGGCCAACAGUCGUCCGGUUCAUCAAGGACAUAGCGGUACGCUACGGCAUGCCAAACAACAUCAUCACCGACAAUGGCACCAACUUUGCCAAGGGUGCGCUCAAGCAAUACUUCUCUAUCUCUGGCAUCCGCCUCGACCUGGCCUCUGUUGCGCAUCUGCAGUCCAACAGGCAGGUCGAGCGGGCCAACGGACUCAUCCUGUCUGGCAUCAAGCCGCGACUCGUUGAGCCACUCAUCCGCUCACUCGGCAGCUGGCUCAACGAGUUGCCGGCCGUUCUCUGGAGUCUUCGCACCAUGCAGAAUCGGUCGACCGGGUUCACCCCGUUCUUCCUCGUCUACGGAGCCGAAGCCAUCAUCCCGACUGACGUCGAUUUCGACUCGCCGCGCAUCGCGAUGUACACCGAAGCCGAAGCCAGAGAAGCCCGCGAAGAUGGCGUCGACCUACUCAAAGAAGCACGCCUCGUGGCGCUCAGUCGCUCGGCCAUCUACCAGCAAGGCCUGAGGCACUACCACAUCAAGAAGAUCAAGCCCCUCGCAUUCCGCGAGGGCAACCUCGUCCUCCGACUCAUCCAAGGCAGGCAGGCCAGCACAAGCUGUCCCCUCCAUGGGAGGGCUCAUUCAUCAUGAGCAGGGCCUUACGCGAUCGCAACGCCUACUACCUCAUCGAUGCACGCAAGUCAAAGAAGCGCAAGAAGGACACCGCUGGUGAAGAAACGACCCGGCCAUGGAACGCGGAACUCCUCCGCCCAUUUUACUGUUAGCCGCGCAAGUGUAUGUAUCGUCGCCAUUUGUAAAUGCAUGAAACUAUGGGGUCCCCAAACAAGACUCGGGGGUUGCCUUUUGUCGACCAAUUUAUUGUGUCCCUAUUUUUCUGCAUCACUAUACCACUGAACCCGGCCACCGGACCGACUCGCUCGACCCGGAGGCUCGGGGGCUGGCCGGCUCGGUCGCCACCCCGCCGCCUUACUUGGUGAUUCCUGAGAAAGUUAGGAUGCCGCGGUCCCCCACUUCGCCCUAAAGCCACAGAUCUAGCUUUGGCUGUCGGCUGGCAAGCACAAUGGGCCAAAGCUCCUUUACGCUUCAUACACUAAGUCAAAGGCUGUCUGGUUGAUCAACCCGGCCCGCCAUUCAUCAAAUGAACAACCGCACAACCGGCUGCUCGCCAACCGGCUUCGCCGGAUUGCCGCCAGCCGGCCCAGUGGGUGUUUCGCUCGCGCUCAACGUUUCAAAGGACCCAAGUCUUGCACGCUCCUUUCGAAGAAUCGAACUCCUUGUCACAGACCGGAGCCUCGGCUGUCUGACUCGCGGGGGGGGGGGAGGUUUGAGAAAGGAAAAGCGCAUGAAGUCAGUCUGAAAAACGGAAGGCAAAAAGCAAAAGCACUCACGACAUGUACACAAACAUUUAACAAAAGGCCCACGGCCCGAGUUCAUUACACCCUANNNNNNNNNNNNNNNNNNNNNNNNNNNNNNNNNNNNNNNNNNNNNNNNNNNNNNNNNNNNNNNNNNNNNNNNNNNNNNNNNNNNNNNNNNNNNNNNNNNNNNNNNNNNNNNNNNNNNNNNNNNNNNNNNNNNNNNNNNNNNNNNNNNNNNNNNNNNNNNNNNNNNNNNNNNNNNNNNNNNNNNNNNNNNNNNNNNNNNNNNNNNNNNNNNNNNNNNNNNNNNNNNNNNNNNNNNNNNNNNNNNNNNNNNNNNNNNNNNNNNNNNNNNNNNNNNNNNNNNNNNNNNNNNNNNNNNNNNNNNNNNNNNNNNNNNNNNNNNNNNNNNNNNNNNNNNNNNNNNNNNNNNNNNNNNNNNNNNNNNNNNNNNNNNNNNNNNNNNNNNNNNNNNNNNNNNNNNNNNNNNNNNNNNNNNNNNNNNNNNNNNNNNNNNNNNNNNNNNNNNNNNNNNNNNNNNNNNNNNNNNNNNNNNNNNNNNNNNNNNNNNNNNNNNNNNNNNNNNNNNNNNNNNNNNNNNNNNNNNNNNNNNNNNNNNNNNNNNNNNNNNNNNNNNNNNNNNNNNNNNNNNNNNNNNNNNNNNNNNNNNNNNNNNNNNNNNNNNNNCAUUCAUCAAAUGAACAACCGCACAACCGGCUGCUCGCCAACCGGCUUCGCCGGAUUGCCGCCAGCCGGCCCAGUGGGUGUUUCGCUCGCGCUCAACGUUUCAAAGGACCCAAGUCUUGCACGCUCCUUUCGAAGAAUCGAACUCCUUGUCACAGACCGGAGCCUCGGCUGUCUGACUCGCGGGGGGGGGGAGGUUUGAGAAAGGAAAAGCGCAUGAAGUCAGUCUGAAAAACGGAAGGCAAAAAGCAAAAGCACUCACGACAUGUACACAAACAUUUAACAAAAGGCCCACGGCCCGAGUUCAUUACACCCUAAAAAAACAGUGGGCGGGUGGACCUGCUACUUAACAAAUUUUGCAAAGUAUCUCAGGCAUCUCCAGCACCGCAUCGUGAAGUCGAGGGCCCUCCCCUGGCAGCCUUCGGGUCCGGCGAGUCGCCGGUGUCCUCCUCGGCAUCCGCGUCACCAUAGACGCCCGUCUCCUCCGAGCUCCCCUCCGGAUCAUGGAGAAGCAAGCCGUAGUCGUCGCCAUCCACGGCCCUGCCGUCUUCCAUUCGCUCCGGAUGGAACUCAUCGUGGAAGGCGAACUCGGCGAUGUAGCUGGCCCGAGAGGCGAUCCGGACGGCUUGCUCCUGCAGCAACUGCUCCGAGCCGGCCUGCUGGCCCAUCAACGCGUCCAGCUGAACAUCCGGAUGCCAAGAUAGCGCAAACCGGAGCGCCAUCUCGGCACCGGCACGAGCGGCGGAGACACGCCACUCGCCAAGCCGGUCCGGGCCCGUCUCCAACCAGCACGCCAGGCGCGUGAAGGUCCAACGCCGCCUCCUCCUGGGUCUAAGGCCCGAAGACAGCAGCGCCCCCGCUCCAUGCCGGCUGCGCGCGGCAACUCGACACCCUCCCUGCCGGGGCACCAAGGCGUGCCCACCGCUGGCCGCUUGCGACGCGGCCAGCACCUCCUUCGACGCCCCUCCCGGCGCCGACGAUGACCCGGACGCCGGGACGCCCUGCGUCACCACCACCGGCGCAGCUGCCGGGGUGGCCUCCGGCACCGCCGCCUGCAGUGCCUCCUCCAUAGCCGGCGGCGCCUCUUCCAAGAUGACGCCACCUCCACCACCAUCAGCCCGCGCGCGCUCGACCACGUCGGCCCGCGGCGGGGUAUCGCCCCCCACCUCCACCACCUGCUAGUCGAGGAUCACCACCUCAGCCCGGCCUCCAUGGCCGCGCUCCCUCACCGAUGACGGCUCAAAGACCGUCGCCGCCACCACCGUGCCCUCCGGCAUCUCGCGCCAGGCCGGCUCGCGCCUAUGCCGCCGCCGCAUCGAUCCAAGCCUGGACCGACGCCGCCUCCAGCUCCGCCUCGUCCCGGUUCCUGUCCUGCCAGGCCAAGGCUUUGGCGUCGUUCAGGUCCAGGCCAAGGUUCGAGUCGGCCCGUACCUCCACCUCGACCUGGUUGGCGAGGUCGGACCGGCUCCUGCGGAACGCUACCCCUUCGGCAGUUGUGGCUUCUGCUGCCGCCCUCGCCAGCGCGAUUGGCGACCUGAAGAAGAAGACAGAAUGAGCAAAAAAGAAACAAGACUAGCUCAAAAAAUCCGGGCGCAAACAAGAAAUGAAGGUUACCCUGUCAAGACCGGGACCGGGGUUGGCCUCCUGUGCCCGCCGCCGCGCUUCUUCUUGGCCGGCCUCUCGGCCCCUGCCGGGUCCGCUGUACGCUUCGGGGCCCGGGGUCGCGGUGCGACACUGUCUUUCCCAUACAGGCGGCUCGGCGCUGCCCCAUGCGAGGACCCGGCUCCGCCUGCAUCGCCGUCUCCCCCGCCCAGUGCCACUACACCAACAGCCGGCGUCAGCAUCGCCCACGCCGCGCCAUGAUCAGCAUUUCAAGACACAUGAACAGAGAAAACAUAUAGAACUUACCCGCGCGACGCCUAGCGCCGGCGUCGGACUCGGCCACCUCCUCCUCGCCAGGGGCCGCGGGCUCCUCUGGCGCCACCGACACCACCUGCGAGGAGCCUGGGCGUAAGGAUGCCGAAUCACGUUCAGAAGUAUCACCCGCGUCGCGUCGGGACGAAGGAGAAGGUGCGCCGCAGCAAAGUAAGAAGACCAAACACUCACCUGCGGCACCGGGUUUGACUCGCUGUACGGCGCCUUGCCGAACUGUCAGUCCUCUCCAAGGUUGGCCUUGGAGAUGUCGUUCACGCCGCGCGCAAUCUGCUCCGCGGACAGCCACGUCGACCCCAUGCUGUUGGGGUCCUGAAGGCCGAUCAUUUCUCCAAUGAGGCAGGAGCGCCUCUGGAGCGGAAGGACCCGGCGCAUGAUGAACGCGACAAGGAGGUUGGUGCCAGUGAGCCCCUCCUACGUCCUCAUCACCGUCACCCGCUCGCACAGGUUGACGAUCUCCUGCGACGGGCGCCUGAGCGAGUAGCCCCAGUUCGUCUUCGCCCGCGGCGGCGCGAUGGCGAAGAGCGGAAGGUUGAUGUGGUCCACACCAAGGUUGCAGACGUAGAAGAAGGAGUUCUGCCACUUCUUGGCAGAAUCCUCCAGCGGGAUCUUGGGGACAUCCGCCCCCGACCGCUUCGAGAUGAUGGCGGCGCCGUAGUCGGUGAACUCCCCGGCCGAUGGGCCCUGCUGCUUCAAGGAGAAGAAGCGUGCCAAGAGGUUGAUCGUGGGCUCGACCCCCAGGUACCCCUUGUAGAGGGUGACGAAGCCGGAGAGCUGGACGAUGGUGCCGGCGCCAAGAUGAUGCGGCUGGAGCCCGAAGAACUCCAGGAACGCGCGGAAGAAGGUGCUCGCCGGCAGCCUGAACCUGGGCUCGAAGUGUGUGAGGAAGACCACGCGCUCCUGCUCCUCGGGCAGAGGCCUCUGCUCGCCGUGUGGCAGGCGAACGCCGACGUCCAUCUCCCGCGGCAAGCGCUGCGACGCCCGAAGCUGGAUGAUGUCCUCGGUGGUGAUGUUCGAGCCCAUCCAGGAGCCUGACGACAGCGCCAUGGACGAAAGAAGAAGGAAGCAGAUGGACGAUGGAGGAAGUUCUGCUUGGAGCAGCGGGCGCCGCAGUGCGUCGGUUGCAAAGAGCGGAGCGAGAGCAAAGGGACAGGAGGGUGCGAGCGAGAAUAAUGUCUGCCGCCCCCUGCCCCCCAAUUUAUAACCCUCGGUUCAAACGUGGGGGAGUGGGAUCGUCUGCACGCGCCCGUUCCACUACCCCGCAAUAAGUGCGCACGUACACGUGCAGUAACUUUCCGGGGAAGUGCAACCGACCCCCGGAAGCCGCAAUAAAUCCGCGUGCGUGGGCCAAGGGCACGCGGCGGUGGGUCCCAUCCCGUCGCCCAGUCCCGUCACGCGUGUGGCCUGUCAGGCCCCUCCGGCUUCCGGCCACCACGUGGCGCCCGCGCAAAGCCUGAGGGAUUGCCCCAAGAUUUGACGGACUACUCGGUUCCCGCCACGGCCGGGAUGCCGCAAUCCGGUUUCCGAGAAAAACCGGCACAUAAUGGGUGUUGCCGGACCCGGCGCUUGCAGAAUCCCCCUUGCUUAAGGGGAAAACUGUGAAGGCACACUCAUCCGAAGACGGCGGACCUUCACAGCUUCGGGGACUACUGUCGGGGGGAUGAACCACGGGCAGGCAACGGAACCCGGAUCCUCUUCAAAAAUAGUGGGGCCCACAUCACCCCUCAAACCGGCACGCGCCCGGCCGGGUCGCUCGACCCGGCAAGGCCCGCAACCGGCCAAACUCUCCGACCCGGCAAGGUACGUCGACCCGGCCUCAGCAACUGGCGCAAGGCAGCCGAACCCGGUACGACCAAGGCUUCCCCAACAAGCCGACCCCACCCGUGGCGUACACCGCAAUCCAGCCACGGGUCAAGCUCCCGUCCCAUCCAGGCCGUACGAUGGGACGAGACCUCAAUCACUGAUGACCAAGACAACAGUGCUUCCACCCAUGCCUAUGGUCAGCCGGAGCGUGGCAACAGUGCCCCUCACCUACCCGCUGGCCGGGGCUGGCGUGGCAACAGUGCUCCCACCCUCACCGCUGACGGCAGCAAGCGGCAACCUGACGGAGAUCACUGUACGCGACUCGACUCGGCCAGGCCCUGACGAUCGACAAGACGGCGCACAGUCCCCCUAGACAUGCGGGGCCCACACCUAGGGGAACCUGGCGAACCACAAGCCCUCAGCGGGACCCAUCCCGGCAUCCCGGACACUGACAAUACAGACCCAUCGACUCGACGUAUUACCAUUGUAACCCUGGGGGGUUUGAUCUAUAAAAUCCCCCAGGAACCCACGCCUACUGGGGCAUGUACAAGGUAGCAUGUGAGAAACAGAUACAAGGGACAAGCAAGCAAGCAUAGGACUAGCCACCAAACCGCAACACCGGAGAGAAGGAGCAGCCCAAGCCUUGGCCAGCUUCCUUCCUCCUCCAUACAGCUCCAGGAGCAACAUUGUACUAUCGAUCAUCCAACUACACUCGGCAGGACUAGGGGUAUUAUCUCUCCGGAGAGCCACGAACCUGGGUAUGUCUAGCGUCCCGCGCCCGCUCAUGCCAACCUCGCCUCUGGAGACCACCAGCGCCCUCGAGUCUCCUCCUCUCUUUAGCCAUCCCUUGGCAUCUGCCGUGCGCCCACCACGACACUUAUAAUCCAAUAAUGCAUGUUGCAUGAUCAAGGAUUCUCAUAGGUAGAUCGGACGAAUGCUAGUUGAUCUAGAUAGUAAAUCUAACAUCUAUAACAACUCUAAUGAUGUGAAAGCAUGCAUGUUGAGAUAAUUAAAAGUAGCGGGAUCACUCUUUUAGAUAGGUUAUGAUCCAAAUAAAACACAUCAGUUUGUAUUGAAUUCGACAAUUGUUAGAACACUAUACUUUUUGUUCAGGGAUUGCCUACUUCCGCUUGGUCAAUAUGCAUGUGACAUUUUCUAUCUGCCCACGACACCACUCACAAAAUUAGAAUCGCCUUUUCUAUUUCUAUUGCUUCAUAUAGGAAUGUUAAGACGUCACCUACUCCAUGAUUUGGACACUACACGAUUAAAUGCAUGAAGCAUGUUUUGCGGCACACACCAAAAUAAAAGAUUAGGAUUGCUUUUACAGAAAUAAAGAAUAAACGCCAAUGGAUGUCUCACAACCCUCUUGAGGGCGUCGUGGUCUCCCUCCCUGUUCUAGGGUUCAAGUUGAAAACCCAAGUUCAUUCCUUUGGACGCGACAAGGACGAUGCUCUACGUCACUACCCUAUUGGGUGCGUUGAGGUGGAACUCUGGUACCUUUCGUUUGCGGUGGAAGGUCGUCUUAGGGCAUGCUUGGAUUGUACCUCGAAGUAUCUUGGGUUCCAAAGUGGGAUGGUCCAGUUGGUCUCUUAUCGGUUCCAUGCGACUGCGUCGGCAUCGCUAUUGGCCUGUACUACUCCUCGGUCCGGAGUGAGAGGGCAGGUGUGGCCCUCUCUGACGACAUUUGACGAGGGCUUUGUUGCACGGUCCAAUGGUUCCUUUUGAAGACGUGAGCUCAUACGGUAUCGCCACCAGAGGCGAUUUGCUGGAGUCUGCCUACUCAUGUACUCUUUCUCGCUGGCGCAACCAUACGCUUGUAGUGUGUCUCGUGUGUGUUGUCUAUGUUAUAUCUUGGACCCUGAUAAGUGCUAUACCUAUGCCACGAACACAUGACAACUUCAAGCAUUUUUAUGGCAAUUUUAGUGACGUCAGGAUGACAACUUUAAUUGUCAGGCAUGAGAACUUCUUUUCGGAUGGCAAGUUUCAAUUUUUUUUUCUUUUCGGAUGGCAAUUUUAGUUCAAAAAACGUCAGGGCCGGAGUGCUUCGUGUCACUUGUGUGGCACUCAUCAUUUGGAUACAUCUUUUGUUGCCAGCUCUUUCUUUAAUAUGUUUUUCAUAAAAGGAUUUCCUUGUGUAUUGUUCAUCAGUCCGGGUUUUAUACAUUAAUUUUUUUUGAGAAUGGGUUUUAUACAUUAAUAAUGCGGAGUCGAUGUCUAUUUUUUGAAAUAAAGAAAACGGCCCAAAGGCCUGAAACCACCAAUGAACAGAGAUGGGAAAACAUCAAAUAAAAAGGUUGAGAAAAGAAUGUUUGAGUUCAGGUCCCCAACCAAAUCGAGUGAGGAUGAGUUCUUGGACUCUUUUUUGUAGAACAUAUAUUACGAUGGACUCUUUACCGGGCGUAUCCCUACCAAACAAAUCACGUUUAACACGAGCAAUACGUAGUUACGUGCUGUUCCCAAACAUACUCCUAUUUAUUCUUCGCCUUGAGUUGCUCGACAAAAUCGGCGAUCAUCAUGCUACCGGCGAAGAAACGAGCGGGGCACCACCGCAGUCCGUGGUCCGACCUCCCGCACGAUCUGCUUACAACCAUCCUCGUCCGUCUCACCGCAACCUCCCCGGCCCUUCGCGACCGCGCCCGCUUCGGCGGCGUGUGCCAGACAUGGCGUGCCGCCGAGCGCGCCCACCCGCGCCCUCCUGUGCCAUGGCUCGUCGCCCCUGGGCACUACGUCAGCCUCCACGACGCCGCCAUCUACCGCGUCCCGCUGCCCGAGGACGCCGCCGCUGCCACCUGUCGAGGUUCCUUCGGCGACUGGCUCGCCCUCGUGCCGCCGGUGUCAGGGCGCCCCUUCUUGCUCAACGCUUUCACAAAGGAGCGAAUCAGGCUGCCGCGGUGGACGAAAGAGCCGAUGGUUAAGUUUGUCCUGUCGUCCAAGCCGGAUGCCAAGGCUUGCACUGUGGCUGCCAUUGUUGAGAUUGGAGACGGCGCCUACAGGAUGAGUUGUAAGGUCGUUAUCUGCCACCUGAGGCGGGGACGACAACAAGGGCGCUCCUGGGAGAUCCUGACUAAGGCGUUCAAGCUCCAAGACAUCACCUUCUUCGAGGGGAAACUCCAUGCCCUUGACACAGAAGCCUGCCUCCAUGUCUUCCAGGAAGAAGACCUACAACAGCGCCCUCAUCAGCGGUGGAGCAUGCCACCUGCGAAGCAGCAAUUCUACGACGUCAAGCUGCACCUGGUUGUCCUCCAUGGGAGGCUGCACAUGGUCGGCAGGGGCUUAGGGACGACCCGGUGGACGACAUUCACCAACAAUAUAGGGGUCUUCGCGCUCGUCGGCGAGAUGACGAAGCCACCGGUGCCAGUCAAGGACUUUGACGGGCACGCGAUCUUUGUCGGCGACGCCUGCUGCGACGCUUUCGUAGUUGAGGCAGCUGCUUUAGGCCGCAUGAUAAGAGAGAACCAGAUUUGUUUCGUCGACGACGAGAAGAACAUGAUGUCGCUGGCCACCACCGGCCGCCGGCCUUUCCGGCUGCUGCAAUCCUACGACGUGCGCAACGGCUGCCUCCGCGCAUACGGACCCAGCACCGCCGCGGUGGGGACCUGGCGGUGCGUCACGGCACAGCGUUUCCCGCAGAGCAGCGCCAUUGGACCACCGCUGCGGGCCUCUCUGUCGAAGGCGGAGCUGCUGCUGUGGAACGUGGCCAACUGCCUGGGAGCAUGGGACCGGCCCUUAUAUACAACGCGCCAUCAGGACGAUGGCGCAGGCGUCGCCGUGACAGUGGAGAUCGAGGUGCCCAAGACAUCCAGAAUAAUGGAAGGGGAAGAGCCCCUCUUUGAGUGGAGUUUCACGCAGCAGCGGGGGUCAGCCAAGAAAGCGAAGCAGGCGGCGGCGCACGAGGCCGUCACGUUCCUGCGGAGUCGGUUUCGCAGCAUCCUAGACGACAGCCCCUGGAGCUCCGUCCCUCACUACCAUAGCCACGUCGACGAGGAGGAAGAAGCAGUCCAAGAAGACGACGCCGAAGGCGGCAGUUUGUUUGGGUAUACACAUUGGUACGGUGACAUUAACUACUAGCUAAGGUGCUCUGCUUUGGCCUUCCGUUGAGCGUCACUUGCUUUGCUCUGCAGAAACGUGUUGGGCGUGUGCAAAACAUGCGCUUGAUUGGAGAGAUCAAGAACUCGUGUUUAUGCAAUGUUAUAAAAGAGUCGGCUUGGUUUUUAAUAGGACUCCAUAGCUAUAUAUAAACAUGUCAUGCCAGUAAAAGUUUGCAUUAGUUGAGUGUAUCUAAGUCACAUGUAAAAGUUGACGACAUAGUCCGGUCCUUUCAUCACACUUAACUUCACUCCCCUUCGCCACCCGAGCUCACCUUUGGCGGUUUCCGACAUUCUUCGCCAUGGCAGGCAAUGGAUCGGACUCCGACCAGUCCGGAUCCGUUGAUUGGGAUGUCAUCCCAUAUGGGUUGGAGGAGGCAAUGUCAAUCCGCAUUGCACUCCGCCGCUCCCGGGAGGACAGCGCCCGACCGACAGACGGAUCCGUCCGCCGCGACGCCACAGCGUCGGCUCAUCGGGCGCUUGGGUCCUCUGGUGCUGGAUCCUCGCAGUACCGGCCGGAACACCUGUCCUUCCCCAUCAUCGGUCGGGCAGAGUAUGAGUGCCACCGGGAACGGGCGGCCAUACUGCGUCUUUGACCGGUACAUCCGCGAGAAGGACGGGAAGAGCGCCGGGAAGAGUAAGGGCAACCGUGGAUGAAUUCCACCGUAGCCAAACAUGCCUAAUUUUGGUAGCCCGAUGACAUGUUUAGUGUAGUGUGAUGGAGUAACCGAACGAUGUGUGUACGUCAACGUAGUUGCAUGAGUUUUUAUGGAUUUGAGAUAUGGUAACUUAGGUGUCCGGAUGUGGAUUAUAUAUUUUGAGAAGUGUCCGAUCAAUGUCCGCGGAUUUUUGAGUGGCCGGAUUUGCCAAGUCCGCCUAUAGAUGCUACAAUGUUUUUGGCUUCGGCUAAGUUUCGGUUAGAGAAGUUGUCUAACCUGUUAUCGAUGAUCAGUUAGAUGCUCUUACCCUGCAUUCAAUCUUUUUUGAUCAAUUAUAAGUGACAUAUACUUUAGGAAAAACUGACGCAUUAGUAGCAUUUAUAAUAACGAGAAUGCUAAAUUCCUGCCGACUGGCAGUUUGCAUCAGAUCCGAACGAUCCGGAUCUCGUUCAUUCGGAAUCGAAUGGCAGUUAUCGAAGCGAGAAAAAGAAAGGGGCGUGGACGAGAAUCGAACCCCCGACGUCCUUGUAGGCACGCCACCGAACUAACCAUCUCACCCAAACUUCGUAGUUGUUAAAAUUGCGAACACCCUGGAUUUAAUGCAUAGUGGUCUUUUUUUGAGAUUAAAAAUCUGAAGAAGUUGCUAAUUUGAUGGCGCAUUUAGCGGAAAGACUUCCUGAAACGUUGAUGUCCGUGAUUUUCUCUCUGGAUUAGAUCCAUCAUGAUUUUUUCUGUGUGCUAGAUCUAUUGAUAGACCCUAUUUACAGGAAUUUUUUAGUCAAGAAAAUUGAUUCUCAAUAUAGGAUUCGAACCCACAGCAAGCAGCUUACGUGAAACACUUACCACUAGUAGAAAAGGGGCCAAUGGUCCAGGCCGGUCCAGCCCAUUAGUCCCGGUUUAACCCAGAACAGGGACCAAUGAUGGCAUUGGACCCGGUUCGUGAGCCCCGGGGGCCGGCCGGGCCACGUGGGCCAUUGGUCCCGGUUGGAGGGACGAACCGGGACCAAUGGUUCUCGCUCCUGGCCCACCAUCAUUGGUCCCGGUUGGUGGCAUGAACCGGGACCAAAGGCUGCCCUUUAGUCCCGGUUCAUGCCACCAACCGGGACGAAACGGUUGGUCCUUGUUGCGGUCACAGUUUAGUCCCACCUCGCCAACUGAAGGGGAAUUAGACCGGUUUAUUUUCUUUUUUGCUAUAUUUAUUUUUUUCUUUUUAUUUCUGAGUUGUAAUAAUUCAUUAAAAAUANNNNNNNNNNNNNNNNNNNNNNNNNNNNNNNNNNNNNNNNNNNNNNNNNNNNNNNNNNNNNNNNNNNNNNNNNNNNNNNNNNNNNNNNNNNNNNNNNNNNNNNNNNNNNNNNNNNNNNNNNNNNNNNNNNNNNNNNNNNNNNNNNNNNNNNNNNNNNNNNNNNNNNNNNNNNNNNNNNNNNNNNNNNNNNNNNNNNNNNNNNNNNNNNNNNNNNNNNNNNNNNNNNNNNNNNNNNNNNNNNNNNNNNNNNNNNNNNNNNNNNNNNNNNNNNNNNNNNNNNNNNNNNNNNNNNNNNNNNNNNNNNNNNNNNNNNNNNNNNNNNNNNNNNNNNNNNNNNNNNNNNNNNNNNNNNNNNNNNNNNNNNNNNNNNNNNNNNNNNNNNNNNNNNNNNNNNNNNNNNNNNNNNNNNNNNNNNNNNNNNNNNNNNNNNNNNNNNNNNNNNNNNNNNNNNNNNNNNNNNNNNNNNNNNNNNNNNNNNNNNNNNNNNNNNNNNNNNNNNNNNNNNNNNNNNNNNNNNNNNNNNNNNNNNNNNNNNNNNNNNNNNNNNNNNNNNNNNNNNNNNNNNNNNNNNNNNNNNNNNNNNNNNNNNNNNNNNNNNNNNNNNNNNNNNNNNNNNNNNNNNNNNNNNNNNNNNNNNNNNNNNNNNNNNNNNNNNNNNNNNNNNNNNNNNNNNNNNNNNNNNNNNNNNNNNNNNNNNNNNNNNNNNNNNNNNNNNNNNNNNNNNNNNNNNNNNNNNNNNNNNNNNNNNNNNNNNNNNNNNNNNNNNNNNNNNNNNNNNNNNNUGCUUCUAUUUAUUUCUGAGUAGUUUUUUAUAUAGUUUUUUUUUCUUUUCUGCUAUAUUUAUUUUUUUUCUUUUUAUUUCUGAGUUGUAAUAAGUCAUUAAAAAUAAGCAUCUAUGCUCAUUUUUUAGUUAAGUUAAUCACAACUAUUAAAAAUAAGUCAUUAAAAAUAAAAAAGAGGCGCAAUGCUCGUUAAUUUGCUUUAAGCCUUUCGGAAUAGUGUCAGUUGCACUGCCCAUAGCUCUGUGCAGUCUACCCUAUUCCUCAAGGCUUGAAGCUAACCAACGUGCAGGUGAGCAUUGAGCCUCUUCUUCAUCGUCUCUGCACUCAGGGCUUAUAAACAGCUGCGAGUGCCUCUCGCUUGGCGAGGUGAGACUAAAAAAACAGCUGCAGAAAGAAUCAACUAAAAAACAGCUGCAGAAAAUAAAAAAUUAGACGGGUCCAUUGGUACCGGUUGGUGGUGCCAACCGGUACCAAUGCCCCUCUUUUGUACCGGUUGGUGCCACCAACCGGUACCAAUGCCCCUCUUUUGUCCCGGUUAGAGCCACCAACCGGGACCAAAGGUCUUCGUUUCCCGCCCUUUGGGCUGCCGAAAAGAGGCCUUUGGUCCCGGUUGGUGACUCCAACCGAGACAAAAGAGAGGCAUUGGUCCCGGUUUGUGGCACGAACCGGGACCAAAGCCUUUGCUAUAUAAGUAGCAGUGCCGCCCCGCCCCGACUUCGAUCUCUCCCGAUGCCGCGCGCCAUCCCCUGCCGCCACCUCGCCGUCGCCGCCCCACCCCGACGCCAUCGCCGCCCACCCUGCCNNNNNNNNNNNNNNNNNNNNNNNNNNNNNNNNNNNNNNNNNNNNNNNNNNNNNNNNNNNNNNNNNNNNNNNNNNNNNNNNNNNNNNNNNNNNNNNNNNNNNNNNNNNNNNNNNNNNNNNNNNNNNNNNNNNNNNNNNNNNNNNNNNNNNNNNNNNNNNNNNNNNNNNNNNNNNNNNNNNNNNNNNNNNNNNNNNNNNNNNNNNNNNNNNNNNNNNNNNNNNNNNNNNNNNNNNNNNNNNNNNNNNNNNNNNNNNNNNNNNNNNNNNNNNNNNNNNNNNNNNNNNNNNNNNNNNNNNNNNNNNNNNNNNNNNNNNNNNNNNNNNNNNNNNNNNNNNNNNNNNNNNNNNNNNNNNNNNNNNNNNNNNNNNNNNNNNNNNNNNNNNNNNNNNNNNNNNNNNNNNNNNNNNNNNNNNNNNNNNNNNNNNNNNNNNNNNNNNNNNNNNNNNNNNNNNNNNNNNNNNNNNNNNNNNNNNNNNNNNNNNNNNNNNNNNNNNNNNNNNNNNNNNNNNNNNNNNNNNNNNNNNNNNNNNNNNNNNNNNNNNNNNNNNNNNNNNNNNNNNNNNNNNNNNNNNNNNNNNNNNNNNNNNNNNNNNNNNNNNNNNNNNNNNNNNNNNNNNNNNNNNNNNNNNNNNNNNNNNNNNNNNNNNNNNNNNNNNNNNNNNNNNNNNNNNNNNNNNNNNNNNNNNNNNNNNNNNNNNNNNNNNNNNNNNNNNNNNNNNNNNNNNNNNNNNNNNNNNNNNNNNNNNNNNNNNNNNNNNNNNNNNNNNNNNNNNNNNNNNNNNNNNNNNNNNNNNNNNNNNNNNNNNNNNNNNNNNNNNNNNNNNNNNNNNNNNNNNNNNNNNNNNNNNNNNNNNNNNNNNNNNNNNNNNNNNNNNNNNNNNNNNNNNNNNNNNNNNNNNNNNNNNNNNNNNNNNNNNNNNNNNNNNNNNNNNNNNNNNNNNNNNNNNNNNNNNNNNNNNNNNNNNNNNNNNNNNNNNNNNNNNNNNNNNNNNNNNNNNNNNNNNNNNNNNNNNNNNNNNNNNNNNNNNNNNNNNNNNNNNNNNNNNNNNNNNNNNNNNNNNNNNNNNNNNNNNNNNNGUAAUUAAUAUGUAGUUCAUAUUUUUAGUAAGUACUAUUUUAUUUUAUUUAUAGUAAGUGCUUCAUAUAUAUAUAGUUGAACUAGCUAGUUGAUUUAAUAAACUAAUUUAUUUUACUAUAUAUAGAAGUAGUUUGUUUUUAGUAAGUAGUACUUUAUUUAUUUAUAGUAAGUGCUUAAUUAGUAGUUGAACUAGAUAGUUGAUUUAAUUAAUAAAACUACUUUAUUUAACUAUAUAUAGAAGUAGUUCCCGCAUCGACGUCGGCGAUGCCUAUCCCGCAUCCUCGUCGUCGUCGACUCGGCGGUGGAGGCUUGCUUGAUCAGGGCCAUGUUCGGGACUGGGCUCCGCCGGACUGGUAUUGGGAGCUGCUACCUUCCGGCGGACGUAGGUUGGUGAGGAGGCAGCCCGUUGUUGACCCGAUCCUUGUUUGGUGGCGAUCGUGUGGGCCAGUGACGGCGUCGAGGCUUCCGAACACCACGGAGGUGGUACGUCACCGUGUCAGCGAGGAGGACGAGCACGUCCGUUGCUACAUGGUUGCAUUGGAGGGCAGGUUCGACAAUACCUGGCAGGUUCUUCAGGGAUCUCACUAGAGCUAUGAUCCUGUGAUGGUUCCUUAUCUUUGGGUGUCCACCGCCCGCAUCGAUACCCGUCGGGCGCUACGGUUCUAGUUGUAUUUAGUGAUGCUAUAUUAGUGAUUGAAAGAUCGAGGAUGUCGCCUAGAGGGGGGGUGAAUAGGCGCUUUAAAAUAAUUACAGUUUAGGCUUGAACAAAUGCGGAAUAAACCUAGCGGUUAAUUUGUCAAGCACAAAACCUACAACAACUAGGUCACCUAUGUGCACCAACAACUUAUGCUAAGCAAGAUAAGCAACUAUGUGAUAGCAAGAUAUAUGACAAAAACAAUAUGGCUAUCACAAAGUAAAAUGCAUAAGUAAAGGGGCUCGGGUAAGAGAUAACAAAGGCACGCGGAGACGAUGAUGUAUCCCGAAGUUCACACCCUUGCGGAUACUAAUCUCCGUUUGGAGCGGUGUGGAGGCACAAUGCUCCCCAAGAAGCCACUAGAGCCACCGUAAUCUCCUCACGCCCUCGCACAAUGCAAGAUGCCGUGAUUCCACUAAGGGACCCUUAAGGGCGGUCACCUAACCCGUACAAAUGGUGACCCUUGGGGGCGGUCACCGAACCCGUACACUUUGGCAACCCUUGGGGGAGGUCACCGGUACCCGUCAAAUUGCUCGGGGCGAUCUCCACAACCUAAUUGGAGACCCCGACGCUUGCCCGGAGCUUUACACCACAAUGAUUGAGCUCCGAACACCACCAACCAUCUAGGGCACCAAGGCACCCAAGAGGAACAAGCUCUAGGGUGCCCAAACACCCAAGAAUAAUAAGCUUCUCAAACUUCACUUCCACGUAUCACCGUGGAGAACUCAAACCGAUGCAUCAAAUGCAAUGGCAAGGGCACACGGAGUGCCCAAGUCCUUCUCUCCCAAAUCCCACCAAAGCAACUAAUGCUAGGGAGGAAAAUGAGAGGAAGAACGAAAGAAGAACAUGAAGAACUCCAAGAUCUAGAUCCAAGGGGUUCCCCUCACUUAGAGGAGAAAGUGAUUGGUGGAAACGUGGAUCUAGAUCUCCUCUCUCUUUUCCCUCAAGAACUAGCAAGAAUCCAUGGAGGGAUUGAGAGUUAGCAAGCUCGAAGAAGGUCAACAAUAGGGGAAGAACACGAGCUCAAGGGAUUAGGUUCAUUGGGGAAGAAGACCCCCUUUUAUAGGACAUCCCGAAUCCAACCGUUAUGUGCUCAGGUCGUGCACAAGCGGUACUAUCGCUUGGAGGAGCGGUACUACCGCUUAGCACGGUCAAAACAGCCCAACGAGAAAGAAAACACGAGUUUUUGGUCCGGAGCGGUACUACCGCUUAGGAGCCACGGUAGUACUGCUCUGGAGCGGUACUACCGCUCAGGAGCCGCGGUAGUACCGCUCUGGAGCGGUAGUAAAAAAUUACAUCCGCUCUAGUCGCGGUAGUACCUCUGCAGCCUUUACCAAAACAGCCACAACUUUUGCAAACGGACUCCGAAUUCAACGAAACCAAGUUUGUUGGGAAGCUAAUGACAUGGGCUAACACAAUAUUGAUAGAAAUACAAAGAAUAAGAAAAUGAGAAAAGUCCCAUAAGAAAAUGGUGAGAACCCUUCACCGGAUAAGACCGGUAAAACCUCCAACACCGAAAGCAUCAUAGAAGACGCAUGCGAACUCCAUUUUUGAUGAACUCAAGCUUGUCAUCAAGAUGACCAUAAGCUCUAAGACUCACAAAGAUAACCAAACAAGAACCAAGAAACAUGAUGCAAGGAUGCAAUGGUUUGAUCUCUCUACUAACGAUACGAUCAAGCUACCAACUUGAGAGCCCCCUUUGAUAGUACGUCAAACGAUCCUAUAACUCUGUCUCCCAACUACCACCACAAUACCGGUAAAAUAGAAAAACUAUCAAGGGAAAACCUUUGCCUUGCACAUGGUCCACUUGAGCUAGAUGAAGACGAUCUUGACUCCCUCAAGUUGGACCACCUUUCUUGAUUGCGUUGGCUCGAUGAAGACUAGAUGAUUGCUCCCUCAUAAUUCACUAUGGGUGAGCCACUCUUCGGCACAUCUUCACAAGUCCAUUGACACCACAAUGGAUGGCAAGAUUCAAGCACUUGAUCUCUUCGUGAUGCUGCACUUGAACUUGCACACAGCAAUCUUGAUGACGAUCACCACUUGAUGUCAUCCUUUCCGUGGGUUGUAUGAUAUCUUCCUCUUGACGCAAGCCCAUGGAUACGUACCUAACCCCACAUACAACUCUCACAUAGACCAUGGGUUAGUACAUAAGGUGCAAUGGACAAUGCUUACCAUACCAUGGGAUCACUUGAUCCCUCUCAGUACAUCUUCUACGCUUUGUGAGUUGAUCAACUUGAUUCACUAUUGACUUAGUCUUGAUCAACCUUGAAUCUUUGCAACUCUCUUCAUUUGGAUGAUGUAUUGAAGGUAAACAUGAAUGAUCACACAACCUUCUUCUUCUUCAAGACAUGCUUGCAAUAAGCUCAACACUCGCAUGACCAAUCUUUGGAUAGUUCCUUAAUAGCACCUUGGUCAACUCAUAAAAUCCUUGAAACCAACACAUGGACUUCAAGAAAAGCCUAUGGACAAAUCCUUCAAAUAUAACUCAAGACAACCAUUAGUCCAUAGAGAUUGUCAUCAAUUACCAAAACCAAACAUGGGGGCACCGCAUGUUCUUUCAAUCUCCCCAUUUUGGUAAUUGAUGACAAUCACUUUCAAGAGAGUUUAUAUAAGGAAUUUUGCAUCACCAUGCAAUGCAACAACCAAUAGUGCAUGCGAAUGAGAUGCAAAUGCUAAGGAACAAAACCAAAGCAAGAAGAGAUAACUCUCUAAACUUCUCCACAAAACUCUCUGAAACUUCUCCCCCAUUGGCAUCGAUUGCCAAAAUGGGCGAAAAGCUUAGAAGGCCAAUAUAAAUUGUGGUCCUCCAUAAAUUUGUAUUUCUCAACAAGAGAGUGGAAUGCAAUACACAUAUCCAACUGACAAUACUUGGAGGAAGACAAACUAUAUUGAUGGUUGUUGGUGUCAAAACCGGCGGAUCUCGGGUAGGGGGUCCGAACUGUGCGUCUAGGCAGAUGGUAACAGGAGACGAGGGACACGAUGUUUUUACCCUGGUUCGGGCCCUCUUGAUGGAGGUAAAACCCUACGUCCUGCUUGAUUAAUAUUGAUGAUGUGGGUUACAAGAGUAGAUCUACCAUGAGAUCAAGGAGGCUAAACCCUAGAAGCUAGCCUAUGGUAUGAUUGUUGUUCGUCCUAUGGACUAAAGCCAUCCGGUUUAUAUAGACACCGGAGAGGGCUAGGGUUACACAGAGUCGGUUAAAAAGGUAGGAGAUCUACAUAUCCGUAUUGCCAAGCUUGCCUUCCACGCUAAGGAAAGUCCCAUCCGGACACGGGACGAGGUCUUCAAUCUUGUAUCUUCAUAGUCUUGGAGUCCGGCCGAUGAUGAUAGUUCAGCUAUCCGGACACCCCCUAGUCCGGAACUCCCUCAGUAGCCCCUGAACCAGGCUUCAAUGACGACGAGUCCGGCGCGCAUGUUGUCUUCGGCAUUGCAAGGCGGGUUCCUCCUACGAAUAAUUUAUAGAAGAUUGUGAACACCAGGAUAGUGUCCGGCUCUGCAAAAUAAUUUCCACAUACCACCGUAGAGAGAAUAAUAUUCACACAAGUUCAAUCUGCUGACGCAUUCCAUGGCGUGACGUCACACCACAACCAAGCCUUUAUUUGGAACGUUUUUAUUGUACCACUUCAGCGCGUUUAGCGAAGCGGUUUCCUUGGCACGUCCUGUCGAAGCAGAGAUCGUGUUCCCCUUAUUCCAGGAUUCUCAUCAAUACGGACGUGGGUAACCCAACCGCGCUCGUUGCCACGCCCCCUCCAUCGAAGGCGGGUUUCAAACGGUCACGGGGACGGCUCUUAGUAUUCUUCCUCUUUAUAAUGAGACCAAGGCCCGUUCUUUUUAUUCAAUCCUCUAUCGAAUCCGCCCCUCUCCCUGAGUUCCAACACCCAGGGCUCCGAGUUCAGGUACCUUCGAUCCUCGACAAUGUCCGGUCUUGAUCUACGAGGCCGGUGGAUGCCCUCCUCCAUCACGGAGGAGGACGUGCUAAAGCUGAGAGAUGCCAGGUAUUUAACCUACGAGAUUUCGCAUAGGCUGCCUGCCCGAGGGCAAGUUAUCCCAACUCCCGAGCCUGGCGAGAUCGUCGUGUUCAUGUCUCACUUCCGUCGGGGUUUAGGCUUCUCCACGGAUCCCUACAUGAGGGGGCUCAUGUUUUACUAUGGGCUGGAAUUCCACGACCUGGCUCCGGAGUCCAUCCUCCAUAUCUCAUCAUUCAUUGUCAUUUGUGAAGCCUUCCUCCGCACUACCCCUCACUUCGGCUUAUGGCUCAAAACCUUCAACAUGGAGCCGAAGAUGAUUGAGGGGCGUCAGGCAGAGUGCGGCGGGCGGUUAUAAGCUAGAGGGCCGAAGCUCCAUGGCCCAAGGGCUCUUUCCAAGAGGAGCUCGGCUUGUGGCAACAGGAGUGGUUUUAUAUCACCGCUCCCCGGGGUAGCAGGCAGAAGUCGCCGCCCGUCUUUCGCUCGGGCCCUCCACAGCAGCUGACAUCAUGGGUCAACAAGGGGCGUGACUGGGGGCCGCCCAAAGACGUUCCCCUGUUGCAAGACUGGAUUCGAGUCCUCCAAGAAAGGGAGAUCAAUCUGGUCGCAGUGGUGCAGGUCAUGUUGAUCCGGCGCCUACUGCCCUGCAAACGUCGCCCCCUCCGCCUGUGGGAAUUUAAUCCGGAGGGGCCGCGAGCUCUUCAACACUUCAUGGGUUUGACUCCCAUGGAGAUGUAUAAACUGUUCUUCGGAUCGCAAGAGACAAAUCCGGAAUUGAUCGAGGACGCUGGCCUAAGAUGCAAUCGCCCGGAUACUCAAGUAAGUAGCCUGUGUCCGAACACACCGUCCAUUUAUUUAUAGUGAGCUUGCCUUUUAACCAGCUUUCCCUGGACGAGAGUGGAUAGCGCAAGCAAAACUGAUACGGUGUCCGGCCCCCCUCCCUGAGACCAUGCAGGAUCCCGUGUUAAUCAAAAUGUUGGAGGUUGCACCUUCGAAUGAGGGCGAAGGGGGGCACGGGGAAACUGUCACCUAUGCCAAGGAGGUUUUUAGUAAGGGAGGAAUCGAGAGUCCCUCCUUCCAGGGGGAGAAGAGGACCGCUUCCGAAGACCCGGAGGCCAAGGCCUCAAAGCGAGGAAAGAAAUCUCUACCGGAAGGUCCUGCGCCGGGAAGAGCCCCGGCCGUACUGUCUCCUCGGAGGAAUCAGCCCUCUAACGAGCCGUAAGUAAAAAGGGGGAUUUAUAAUUAUUAGACACCCCUGCUUAAUGUCUAAAGGUAACCGAAGUUUUUACCUUGUAGUUCGGAUCUCAGCCCAUCUCAGCACAGCUCAUCUUCGGGAGACCUUCGUCCGGAGAUGAUGGAGAGCAAAACGCCUCCAUCUGCCGCCCCAUCGCAUGGGGCGGACGACCCUGAGGUGUCUUCGCAGAGGGUCUCCCCGAGUCCGGCGGGGCCGGAGAGUUCGGCACCCAUUGGAGUACAGCCGGUGGAGCUGCAGGAUUUGCUUAAGAGGGCGUCCAUCUCAGAAGAUCACCGCACAUUAAUGGGUAAUGUGAUUGAGAGGAUCUCGUCCGCCGAAAGCGGGUUGUAUGAGGCCGUCGGAAGUUUACUGACGGGAUUUGAGGUACGCAAAAAAUGACAUACCUGUUGACAGUUUUGCACAUGAAGUGCGCCCUGUAUAGUAGCCCCUAAGACUUGGUAUGCUGUCGAAAACGGCAGCGUGCCUAAGAUCAUAAUCUCAGUUAUUAACUGUCGCCUUUCCUAUGCAGGUGGCGGAACAUUCGGUGGCCAGCCGGACGGAUGGAUUCGCCGAGCUGAAGAAGCAACUCGACGCUGCAGAUGCGGACAUCUUGCUGGUCAAUAAACGACUUGAUGAGUCACAAGGUAUGUGAUUGCGCCGCGGUCGCUUAGUAAGGGAGCUGAUGCCCAUUCCUUACAAGUUGUAUGCUUGAUGCAGAUGGUGCUGCUGCUAUGGAAGACCUUCGAGCAGAACUUGCUCGGGCCAAGGAGCAAGCCAGAAAAAGCGAGACGGCUGCCUUGAAGGCAGCGAAAGAGCUAGAAGCCGAGAAGGCUGCUCACUGCCGGAGCAGGGAGGAGAUGGCCGGAAUGGCCAUGAAAUUGAAAGUUGCUACCGACCGCCUGGAGGUUCUUGAAGGAGAACGCCGAGCGAAGCAAGAGGACCUGAAGAAGGCCGAUGCCGAAGCCAAGGAUGCCCGUAGUGCGAUGCGGGCUAUGAAGGAGGAACUGCGUCAGGUCGGAGACAUUGUGGCUGGAAAACCCUUUAUGCUGCGUAGGAAGUUCACGGAUCCGAAGUAUGCUUAGCUGGGCCGAUUGUACGGUGCGGAGGAUCCUUAUCUGGACUUGGCGGCGAGUGCGGCUGAUGCAGUCAUGCACUUUCGAAGCCAGGAGGAUCAUGAAAUGGAAGAGCUUUUCUGGUCUCAAUUUCAUAGUCCGGAGCGUCCACUUCCGUUGAGUGAUCGGCUGGUUGAGUGGGCUGAGCUGAAUAGAUUGUCCGGACUAGCCAUGAUGGAUGUGGUCACUCAUCUGUGGCCGAAAAGGCCCAAGCCGAAGAGUUAUUUUGGCUUGUUGCAGCAAUUCCUUGGGGCAGUGCCGCAUAUUAAGGCGAUGAAGUGGUCGGCAUGCAUAGAAGGUGCACGGAUGGCUCUCGCCCGUGGUAAAACAUACUGGGCGGAGAUGGAUGCCACCGAUGUUGCAUCCCGGGGUUCGGACAAAAGUUGAUUCCCCACCGAGCAUUACUUUGAGGAAGUCCUGCAGGGCGCUCGUAUAAUAGAGUCGCAGUGCUUGAAAGAUGUUAUGUUUGAAUGACAUGUAUGAUUUCUAAGAUCAUGUUUAUAAUGCAAUGACUUUUUAUACUUGUGUGUUCAAGUAUUGAACUAUCUCCUGUGCGGCCGUAUAUAUAUAUAUAUAUAUAUAUAUAUAUAUAUAUAUAUAUAUAUAUAUAUAUAUAUAUAUAUAUGUAUAAUCUGAAAGAUGGCAGUCUUUGGCUUCAGCCCCCACGCACAUGGUGCGGGGGUGUUUGCAAAAAGAAAAUCGCUUCUUCACACUUAAUCCAACGUCUUGGUCCUUUUAAGGACGUGAUAGCGUAGCAAACUAGGCAACCGGACUAUAAUACUUUAUCACUUUCACUUAGCCAUAGGAGCUCGAAUGUGGGGCUACUAUAUAGCCCCUGAUGGCACCGCGCUUCUCCGAACUCGGGGCGCGUAUGUGCCUGACCGGGAAGCGGUCCUUCGUCAAAGCGGAGGAAUUCUAAACAUUCCAAUGGUCGACCGAGUGGUUGACCAGUCUCUCGCUAUAUCAUGAUAGUCAGUUUUCGGCUUUCUCUACUGAGGUGCUCUCCCGGCCGAACCGGGGCACAAUCGCAGUAGUUCUCCUGGUGCCGCGUUAGCCGAUGAUACGGAACGUAAGGCAGCAAAACACAGUAGCCGGGCAAACCCAACAUUUGACCAAAGACAUGAUUCGGAGCUGAUGCAUAUAAGGCCUAACUCGAGAUGCCGGACACUCCCUGAGGUGUUCGGUCUUUAUGAUAUUGGGCCGAACAAAGCCCUAAGCCCCUAGUGUCCAGGUACAGGCGGGAACUUCUGACGCGGCCGAUGCCAAAACGCCAGCCUCCUCCUCGGCUCUGGUAGGAAACCGGGGGAUGUGUAUCAACAAGAGACAGUAAGAAAGGUUUACGCAGGGUCUUAAUCUGAAAAGAAUCCUUGCAACGGGUCCCUACUGCACGUCUGCGCCUGUGUCUCCGUUGUGUUGUAUCCUGGACAGGUGUAGCACGUGCUUCAUCUGUAAAAGAGAAGGACUUAGUUUCUAAGAAAUAUCGUGCAAAAAGUGUAUCAAAAUAAAGUAUAAUUUAGAAGAUGAAGAAAGUUGAGCUUUAUUGGCUUUCAUCAUUUAUGCGCGCGCCCCCCUAAAAAAAGGGGUAUGCGGCUGGGAAGCCCCUUGCCGGACUCGUCUAACCAUGUCCGAGGUCUAAAUGACCUGUUUUUAGGGGCUUUGACCUGCAAGGUCGGAAUAAUGUGUGGCUGUCUAGGCAGCCGCACAUUCUUCGUGGUCGAGAGACACCUGGAGUUUUUAAGAAUAUUCCACGUGGACCAGGCAUUUGUAAGCGUAAGAGACGCGUAAUGUUGUAUUGCAUUAAAGCAAGCGAAAGCUUCGCGCCCCAGUAGCGCUUAAGGGCUACUGUUAAAUGGGGCGAUGGAGAGUGAGCUUUUCGCGAUGGAGGUUGUCGGAUGAACCGAACACGACCUCUAGUGGUACAGAGCCUGUAAAAUUGGCUUAAAAGGCCUGGCGUCACUCCUUUGAAGGAAGUGCUGCUAUAGCGAAUUUUGGUGGGUUCUAUCCCCAGUCUGCGGAUGGUGUCCUGGUAUAGCAGGUGCCGCGCUGCGUGUUAUCACGUGAAGUGAGUUCACUGUUUGGACUUCUAGUGGGAAAGUCUUUUGGUUUCCGGAGCGCUGCUUUUGGGUUUCGUCACUUUCACUUGGUGUGUCGAGCCCCUUGUGUUCGGCGUUAAGUCGGCCGGACUGCUUGAAGACCCAACAAUCUCUGUGGGUAUGGUUUGCAGGCUUCCCGGAGGUACCAUGUAUUUGGCACAGUCUGUCCAGAAUCUUGUUUAGGUUGGAUAGCUCGUCACUGUUAUCCUUUAAGGGCAGUGUUUUGUUGUUCGGCCGAGAGCUUUUGAAUCCGGCGUUGACCACCGUACUAUUUGGGCCAUUCUCCUUGUUCCGGCGCUGAUCUUUUUUGCGUCGUGAUUUCCCAUUUCCAUCCCUGAUUUCGGAUGUACUCGGGUCGCUGGUGCUGCAUCUAGCCAACCCGCUGUCUUCCCCAGCGCAAAAGCGGGUCAUGAGACUUGUUAGUGCGGCCAUUGUUCUUGGUUUUUCCUGGCCGAGGUGUCUGGCGAGCCAUUCGUCUCGGACGUUGUGUUUGAAGGCUGCUAAGGCUUCAGCGUCCGGACAGUCAACUAUUUGGUUCUUUUUAGUGAGGAACCUGUUCCAGAAUUUGCGUGUCCGGGCUGUUGAGUUAUGUGACUUAAAUCAUCUGCAUCCGGAGGCCGGACAUAAGUCCCCUGAAAAUUUGCUCGAAACGCAUCCUCAAGCUCUUCCCAACUCCCAAUCGUAUUUUCUGGGAGGCUUUUAAGCCAAUGCCGGGCCGGCCCUUUGAGCUUGAGGGGAAGGUAUUUUAUGGCAUGGAGAUCAUCUCCUCUUGCCAUGUGUAUGUGUAGGAUAUAAUCCUCAAUCCAGACUCCGGGGUCUGUUGUUCUGUCGUAUGCCUCUAUGUUUAUGGGUUUAAAUCCCGCUGGAAAUCCAUGAUCCAGUACCUCGUCGGUAAAACAUAGUGGGUGUGCGGCGCCCCUAUAUUUGGGUGUGCCAUUGUCUUCAAAUGCUCGGCUGGUUGUGUUACUUCCUGGAGUCUUCUUUUUUGGCCCAUACAUAGACCUGGUCGGGUUAUCCUUUUUCUGAAGAUCUUUAUGCUGAUCAUGUGCCGGCUUGUGUGUGGAGCCCCAUGUUGCUCUUGGCCUGUCAUCUGGUUGUCUAUCCGGCUAGGCGGCCCCUUUAUUUUUUGACUGCGGGGGCUCGAAGGCCUCCUCGUCAAAUUCGGGCAACAGCUUGCGCUUCGGGUAGCUCUUUGUCUGGUGAUUAGUGCCAUAUUUAUCUGCGGUGUUGAGUACUUUGCUCCAUCUCAUUCUGAGUGUGUCUUCCGCUGUUUUGAGCUUCCGCUUUUGCUUCUUCAAACUUCUUGCAGUGGCGACGAGCCUGUUAUGGAGAUUCCUAUGCUCUGGUGAUGUGAGGUCAUCUUCGUCGGGGAUGGGUUGCUUGUCCGGUUCAUGUCCGGCUGGCUGCUUGUUGACGUGUGCGUCGUCUACUGCUUUGCCCUGCUCUAGGGCCGGGUUCAUAUGGGUACCGUUUUUGUCGAUGCCGGUCUUUGGGCGGCGCUUGCGUCGCCGCUUUGUUUGUUUGUUGGGGGAGUUGUCCUUCGCCACUUCCCGUUUUUCCUCAUUGUCGCUUCCUUUUGGUGUGUCCACCAUGUAUACGUUGUGAGCUGGGGUGGCUUUUCCGUGCCCGUUAGGCGCUGGUUCUUGGUCAUCUCCGGCAUCGUCGUCCAUACCGUCGAUGUCUUCGGAGUCGUAGUCUAACAUGUUGGUUAGAUCGUCGACAGCGGCUACCAAGUGGGUGGUGGGUGGGCUUUGAAUUUCUUCGUCGUCCGCAUCCCAACCUUCCUGACCGCAGUCCGGCCAGGGCUCUCCUGAUAACGAGAGAUACUUUAGCGAACUCAAGAUGUCGCCAAAAGGUGAGUGUUGAAAGACGUCCGCUGUAGUGAACUCCAUGAUCGACGCCCAGUCAGAUUCGAUCGGGGCGGGCGCGGGAGGUUCGGAGUCACGAGCUUUAUGAGGGACGAAGUCAGUGUUCGGCUCUAUCGCCGUAGAGGUUGCAGCCCCCAAGGUGGUGUCUAGGCAUCCAUCCUCGAUCUGCGGAGCUGGCUCCGAAUUGAAGAUCGGAGUGGUUUCGAGUGCGGCCUCCAGGGUACUGUCCGGCGGCAGAGCUAAAUCAUGCCCAUCGUGACAGUACAGCACGCUCGGCUGUGGCUCGAAUCCGUCGAGGAUCAAGUCCCCGCGGAUGUCAGCCGUGAAGUUCAAAUUUCCACAUCUGACCUGACGGCCAGGGGCGUAGCCUUCGAUCUGCUCCAUCAUGCCAAGCGAAUUGGCCCGCAGUGCAAAGCCGCCGAAUACGAAGAUCUAUCCGGGGAGGAAGGUCUCACCCUGGACUGCAUCGUCGUUGAUGAUCGAAGAAGCCAUCGAGCCUAUCGGUGACGACACAGAGGAACUCUCAAUGAAAGCACCAAUGUCGGUGUCAAAACCGGCGGAUCUCGGGUAGGGGGUCCCGAACAGUGCGUCUAGGCGGAUGGUAACAGGACACGAGGGACACGAUGUUUUUACCCAGGUUCGGGCCCUCUUGAUGAAGGUAAAACCCUACGUCAUGCUUGAUUAAUAUUGAUGAUGUGGGUUACAAGAGUAGAUCUACCACGAGAUCAAGGAGGCUAAACCCUAGAAGCUAGCCUAUGGUAUGAUUGUUGUUCGUCCUAUGGACUAAAGCCAUCCGGUUUAUAUAGACACCGGAGAGGGAUAGGGUUACACAGAGUUGGUUACAAAGGUAGGAGAUCUACAUAUCCGUAUCGCCAAGCUUGCCUUCCACGCCAAGGAAAGUCCCAUCCGGACACGGGAUGAGGUCUUCAAUCUUAUAUCUUCAUAGUCUUGGAGUCCGGCCGAUGAUGAUGGUUCGGCUAUCCGGACACCCCCUAGUCCGGAACUCCCUCAAUGGCCAAAGAUUGCAACAGAAAGAUAUGCCACAAAGACAUAACAAAGAGAGACACAAGCAAUCAACGGAUAUCAAUUGAACCAACUAGACCAAUGAUCCUACAUGCCACAAGAAUAAAGAUAUUAUGAAAAGCGCAAAGGAGUGUUCUAAAGAAACUAGAGAAGCUCCCCAUGAUUUGUGCACACAUAAGAAUUUUUUGUAUUUGAAUACAAAGUGCACAAAAUAGGAUCAUAGCUCCCCCAAAAUCAAUAGAAACUCACAUCCAGUGCAAGUGAGCAUAUAGGAAACAAAGCCUAACGCUUGCAACAAGCACAUGGUUCAGCAACAUGUAAAAGAGGCAACUUAAGAAUAGGCUCAACCAAAAUGAUGUGUGUGAGUCAUGGCGAAGCACUUGAGAAGACUAAAAUUAGGAUGAGCAUUAAGCAUCAACAUAGUCUUGAAAGAAUGAGGCACACGGUGCAAGGCCUAUCAUUCCCACACACAACUGGCAAAUGGGUUCACAAGCUUACUAAUAAGCAAAAGAGAACCUAUUCUUGUGACAACCCGUGGUUAAGAUAGAUGAGGGGAGGCUCAUCAAGACGAGGGAUACCAAUUAAGAUGGCAAAAACCUCGUAAAGAUAAGCAAGAGGAAAAUAAUCUUCACCACACAAGAGUGCAACAAGAUGCAACGAUAGAGGACACACACUCAAGGCAAAAGCUUUCACGGAGCCACCAAAGAAAUAACAUAAGAAAGACAAGGUGGACGUGAAAGAAAGGAUAUCAACUAGAGAUGUAAUUUCUCUCAAGUGUAUGAGGUUCUAUGUAGACGAAAUCAUGAUGAUAUAUAUAUCUACAAAGAAGGAUGUACACCCGGAAUAGUUACAACAUGAAGGAACAAGAUAUCCACAAGGAAGCCAUAAAUAUACAAUUAAGAUAUUGCUUGAAAGCAUAGCACAUGGCUAGAUAUGGUCUUAUUGUAUAUGAAUGAAGUCCAAACACACAUCCAUCAAAGGCAUCACAACUAGCAACAAGAGAUCAUCGUUGGGAUGCAUUGAGAAAGGAAACAAGUAUCACAAGAUAUGAAAUGAAUAUCAUGCCAAGAUGCAACCUACACAAGGUUGAAUGCAAGAGGAGAAAGCAUGAAUAGAUACUUGUUACCGAGAUAUCAUUGGAAGGAUGUAGUAGAUACCAAUUGAAGGUAGAUAGUAGUUCAUUGAUCAUCCUAGCUUAACUCCAAUAAGCACAUGGUGACAACACCUUCCUUGUGAGUGAGUCGAGCAUCCAAUGCAUCUCCAACCGUUCCUACAAGGACAACACAAACUAAACGGUACCCCAAACUCAUUGGGACCAAAUAGUUAGAAACACCAAUACAUAGGACAAAUUCCACAUAAAUAUGUGCAUAUAGAUAUGGAAAUUAAUUUCAUGCACAUCUCAUCCAAUUUGAGACUUGGUGGAGUUUCCCCUAUAUAUUGGGUCAACGAAAGAAAGCAUGCCAAAUAGAAUACAUGAAGUAAAUAUGCAUGCUCAAAACUUUCAAGAACCGAUACCAAAAGACAAAGAAAUGCCAAGUGAAAAGGAUACCAAAUGGAGAAAUCAUCACUUGGAAGAUAUCAUUAAAGAUACAUCAAGGAAUGAGAUAUCCAUUGAUACACACUAAAUUAAAGAUGUCAAACUCCCAAAGAGAGGAUGGUUCCAAACAAACCAAGCUCUCAACAAAGUUUCAUGAUGGCACAAGGUACCAAAAGAAAACGGCUUGCCUUCCACCAACACACACUUGAUAAGGAUCACAAGAAGAGUGUUCUAAAGAAAAUAGGAUAGCUCCCCCACGAGUUGUGCAUUAUAGAGAAUUUCCUUUUGAAUACGAAAUGCACAAGGUGGGAUCACCACUUUCUCUAUAUCUAGAAAACACUAGACGAGAACAAGAAAUUAACAAGAUCCACAAGUGGUAUGGAAGACAAUGGGAGUUGACACAAACCUUGGAAAGAGAAAAGGCAAAUAAAAACAAAAUCCAAUGUAAAGAUGAUCAAUUAAAUUCUACCACACAUAAGUGAUUACCAAUUGUCAAAAGAAGUAUUUGGAAAUAAUUCCCGGUGGUAGAUAGCAAGGAUAUCCGACAUCAUCUUCACUCCAAACAAAAAGCAAAAUGCAACUUGUAGAGCUAACAUGCCACCUAGGAACAAGAUAAUCUACAAUAUCAAUUCUAGGUGACAAUAUCUCAAAUGUACAUAUUUUCUAGGCUUGUAAUAUGCACUUAGCAUAUUACUCCCCCAUAAUGUGAUACCAAUAAGAACUUAACAAGAGGCAAUAAGAGGAACAAACAAGAGAUAAUUAAUGGACUAUUUAGAAUUUGAAUUUCUCAUGAGAGAUAUACCACCUAGCGACUAGAUAAUCUUGUAAUAUCAAUACUAGAUGGUAUUCCUCAUGUACACACAUUUAUAGGAUUGUGAGGUGCACAAAGCACAUCACUCUCCCAAAAUGGGAUGUUCCAUUAAUCUCUCACACGAGCCAACUAGGAUACAAACAAGAAGCAUAAAGGCUCAACGCACGACAUACACGUACAUGAUGUGCAAACCAACACACACAUACUUGAUUGCUCAAGAUAAGCAAGUUGGAAUCACAACAUAUACCAACACAUGCAAGGAACAAAACCAAAACAUGCAAGGGGGGCAAGUAACUUUCAAUGUAAGCAAUUUUAAGUACAAGUUACCGCAAGGAGGCACAUUGGAUAUAAGAAAUAAACUUGAUGAUUCAAUUGACUUGGCUUGAGACAAUAAGAGUGAUGAAGUCCCCUUAAUUCUUCAUAAUGUAGCCAAGUCUCCAAUGCCCUCCAACAACACCUAUUGAUAAAGAUUGAGCUUGUUGGUCCCCAACCAAGUUGGGUCCUAAGAGGUUAGUCACAAUAGGCUUGGCAACCCAAAUGGUUCUUUUCUUGACACCACUUUGAGUACCAACAAACUUGGCAAACACAUUGUCAACCUUAUCCUUCCCAAGAGAAUAGAUAUCAUCAAUAGUAAUUGGGUUGGAUAAGUUACCACUAGUGCAUGAAGAAGUGACGUGGCCUUUCUCACGACAUAAGUAGCAACGUCUACUCUUCACUUUCUUCUCACUUGAUUUCUCAACAAGAGAAGCAUUAACUUGAUUCUUCUUGAGAAGAGGCCUUUCUUCAACUUGAGGUUGAGCAUGAGAUUCUCUGUUGGAAAAGGCAGUGCCUAGGAGGCGCUUAGGCACUCCUAGGUGCUAGGCACUGGCCAAACGCCUCGCCUAGGGCAUAAAUGGAGGUCUAGGUAGGGCAAGCAAGGAAUUGCCUACCCAAGCAAGAAAUCAUACCACAUACUGCACUGAUAUGACAAACCGGCUAUAUUCCAAUGGCAGUAGAUGGUUAUUAACUUAUUUAUGUGCCCUAAACUAAUAUCAACACCCAUAUAAUAAUCACAAAUACACUACGAGUAAAACUAUAUUACCGCCUAGGCCGCGCCUAGGGCGCUUAGGCACCGCCUAGUGUUGGGAAACGUAGUAAUUUCAAAAAAAUUCCUACGCACACGCAAGAUCAUGGUGAUGGCAUAGCAACGAGAGGGGAGAGUGUUGUCCAUGUACCCUCGUAGACCGUAAGCGGAAGCGUUAUCACAACGCGGUUGAUGUAGUCGUACGUCUUCAUGACUCGACCGAUCCAAGCACCGAACGUAUGGCACCUCCAUGUUCAGCACACGUUCAGCUCGAUGACGUUCCCCGGGCUCCAAUCCAGCAAAGUGUCGGGGAUGAGUUCUGUCAGCAUGACGGCGUGGUGACGAUGAUGAUGUUCUACCGGCGCAGGGCUUCGCCUAAACUCCGCGACAAUAUGACCGAGGUGGAAUAUGGUGGAGGGGGGCACCGCACACGGCUAAGGAAUGAUCCGUAGAUCAACUUGUGUGUACUAGGGUGCCCCCCUGCCCCCGUAUAUAAAGGAGCAAGGGGGAGGCCGGCCGGCCCCUUGGGGCGCGCCAAGGAGGAGUCCUCCUCCUAGUAGGAGUAGGACUCCCCUUUUCCUACUCCUACUAGGAGGGGGAAAGGAAGAGGGAGAGCGGGAAGGAAAGAGGGGGGCGCCACCCCCCCUCCUAGUCCAAUUCGGACCAGAGGGAGAGGGGCGCGCGGCCCACCCUGGCCGCCCCUCUCUCUUCCCACUAAGGCCCAUGUGGCCCAUUAACUCUCCCGGGGGGUUCCGGUAACCCUCCGGCACUCCGGUUUUCUCCGAAAUCACCCGGAACACUUCCGGUGUCCAAAUAUAGUCGUCCAAUAUAUCAAUCUUUAUGUCUCGAUCAUUUCGAGACUCCUCGUCAUGUCCGUGAUCACAUCCGGGACUCCGAACAAACUUCGGUACAUCAAAACUUGUAAACUCAUAAUAAAACUGUUAUCGUAACGUUAAGCGUGCGGACCCUACCGGUUCGAGAACUAUGUAGACAUGACCUAGAACUAUUCUUGGUUAAUAACCAAUAGUGGAACCUGGAUGUUCAUAUUGGUUCCUACAUAUUCUACGAAGAUCUUUAUCGGUCAAACCGCAUAACAACUUACGUUGUUCCCUUUGUCAUCGGUAUAUUACUUGCCCGAGAUUCGAUCGUCGGUAUCCAAUAACUAGUUCAAUCUCGUUACCGGCAAGUCUCUUUACUCGUUACGUAAUACAUCAUUUCAUAACUAACUCAUUAGUUACAAUGCUUGCAAGGCUUAAGUGAUGAGUAUUACCGAGAGGGCCCAGAGAUACCUCUCCGACAAUCGGAGUUACAAAACCUAAUCUCGAAUUAUGCCAACUCAACAUGUACCUUUGGAGACACCUGUAGAGCACCUUUAUAAUCACCCAGUUACAUUGUGACGUUUGGUAGCACACAAAGUGUUCCUCCGGUAAACGGGAGUUGCACAAUCUCAUAGUUGUAGGAACUUUGUAUAAGUCAUGAAGAAAGCAAUAGCAACAUACUAAACAAUCAAGUGCUAAGCUAAUGGAAUGGGUCAAGUCAAUCACAACAUUCUCCUAAUGAUGUGAUCCCAUUAAUCAAAUGACAACACAUGUCUAUGGUUAGGAAACAUAACCAUCUUUGAUUAAUGAGCUAGUCAAGUAGAGGCAUACUAGUGACACUUUGUUUGUCUAUGUAUUCACACAUGUAUCAUGUUUCCGGUUAAUACAAUUCUAGCAUGAAUAAUAAACAUUUAUCAUGAUAUGAGGAAAUAAAUAAUAACUUUAUUAUUGCCUCUAGGGCAUAUUUCCUUCAGUCUCCCACUUGCACUAGAGUCAAUAAUCUAGAUUACAUAGUAAUGAUUCUAACACCCAUGGAGUCUUGGUGUUGAUCAUGUUUUGCUCGUGAGAGAGGCUUAGUCAACGGGUCUACAACAUUCAGAUCCGUAUGUAUUUUGCAAAUCUCUAUGUCUCCCACUUGGACUUGGUCCCGAAUGGAAUUGAAGCGUCUCUUGAUGUGCUUGGUCCUCUUGUGAAAUCUGGAUUCCUUUGCCAAGGAAAUUGCACCAGUAUUGUCACAGAAGAUCUUCAUUGGUCCCGAUGCACUAGGUAUAACACCUAGAUCGGAAAUGAACUCCUUCAUCCAGACUCCUUCAUUUGCUGCUUCCGAAGCAGCUAUGUACUCCGCUUCACAUGUAGAUCCCGCCACGACGCUUUGUUUAGAACUGCACCAACUUACAGCUCCACCGUUUAACAAAAAUAUGUAUCCGGUUUGUGAUUUAGAAUCAUCCGGAUCAGUGUCAAAGCUUGCAUCGACGUAACCAUUUACGACUAGCUCUUUGUCACCUCCAUAUAUGAGAAACAUAUCCUUAGUCCUUUUCAGGUAUUUCAGGAUGUUCUUGACCGCCGUCCAGUGACCCACUCCUGGAUUACUUUCGUACCUCCCUGCCAAACUAAUAGCAAGGCACACAUCAGGUCUGGUACACAGCAUUGCAUACAUGAUAGAGCCUAUGGCUGAAGCAUAGGGAACUCCUUUCAUUUUCUCUCUAUCUUCUGCAGUGGUCGGGCAUUGAGUCUGACUCAACUUUAUACCUUGUAAUACAGGCAAGAACCCUUUCUUCGCCUGAUCCAUAUUGAACUUUUUCAACACUUUAUCAAGGUACGUGCAUUGUGAAAGUCCAAUCAAGCGUCUUGAUCUAUCUCUAUAGAUCUUAAUGCCCAAUAUGUAAGCAGCUUCACCGAGGUCUUUCAUUGAAAAACUUUUAUUCAAGUAUCCUUUUAUGCCAUUCAGAAAUUCUAUAUCAUUUCCAAUCAACAAUAUGUCAUCUACAUAUAAUAUUAGAAAUGCUACAGAGCUCCCACUCACUUUCUUGUAAAUACAGGCUUCUCCAAAAGUCUGUAUAAAACCAUAUGCUUUGAUCACACUAUCAAAGCGUUUAUUCCAACUCCGAGAGGCUUGCACCAGACCAUAGAUUGAUCGCUGGAGCUUGCACACUUUGUUAGCUCCCUUAGGAUCGACAAAACCUUCCGGUUGCAUCAUAUACAACUCUUCUUCCAGAAAUCCAUUCAGAAAUGCGGUUUUGACAUCCAUCUGCCAAAUUUCAUAAUCAUAAAAUGCGGCAAUCGCUAACAUGAUUCGGAUAGACUUAAGCAUCGCUACAGGUGAGAAACUCUCAUCGUAGUCAACCCCUUGAACUUGUCGAAAACCUUUCGCAACAAGUCGAGCUUUAUAGACAGUUACAUUACCGUCAGCGUCAGUCUUCUUCUUAAAGAUCCAUUUAUUCUCAAUGGCUUGCCGAUCAUCGGGCAAGUCAACCAAAGUCCAUACUUUGUUUUCAUACAUGGGUCCCAUCUCAGAUUUCAUGGCUUCUAGCCAUUUUGCGGAAUCUGGGCUCAUCAUCGCUUCCUCAUAGUUCGUAGGUUCAUCAUGGUCAAGUAACAUGACUUCCAGAAUAGGAUUACCGUACCACUCUAGUGCAGAUUUUAUUCUGGUAGACCUACGAGGUUCAGUAGAAACUUGAUCUGAAUUUUCAUGAUCAAUAUCAUUAUCUUCCUCACUAAUUGGUGUAGAUGUCACAGGAACUGAUUUUUGUGAUGAACUACUUUCCAAUGAGGGAGCAGACAUAGUUAUCUCAUCAAGUUCUACUUUCCUCCCACUCACUUCUUUCGAGAGAAACUCCUUUUCUAGAAAGGAUCCAUUCUUAGCAAUGAAUGUCUUGCCUUUGGAUCUGUGAUAGAAGGUGUACCCAACAGUCUCUUUUGGGUAUCCUAUGAAGACACAUUUCUCUGAUUUGGGUUUGAGCUUAUCUGGUUGAAGUUUCUUCACAUAAGCAUCGCAUCCCCAAACUUUAAGAAACGACAACUUUGGUUUCUUGCCAAACCAUGGCUCAUAAGGCGUCGUCUCAACGGAUUUUGAUGGUGCCCUAUUCAAAUGUGAAUGCAGCCGUCUCUAAAGCAUAAACCCAAAAUGAUAGCGGUAAAUCAGUAAGAGACAUCAUAGAUCGCACCAUAUCUAGUAAAGUACGAUUACGACGUUCGGACACACCAUUACGUUGUGGAGUUCCGGGUGGCAUGAGUUGCGAAACUAUUCCGCAUUGUUUCAAAUGUAAACCAAACUCGUAACUCAAAUAUUCUCCUCCACGAUCAGAUCGUAGAAACUUAAUUUUCUUGUUAUGAUGAUUUUCUACUUCACUCUGAAAUUCUUUGAACUUUUCAAAUGUUUCAGACUUGUGUUUCAUUAAGUAGAUAUACCCAUAUCUGCUCAAAUCAUCUGUGAAGGUGAGAAAAUAACGAUAUCCGCCACGUGCUUCAAUAUUCAUCGGUCCACAUACAUCUGUAUGUAUGAUUUCCAACAAAUCUGUUGCUCUCUCCAUAGUACCGGAGAACGGUGUCUUAGUCAUCUUGCCCAUGAGGCACGGUUCGCAAGUACCAAGUGAUUCAUAAUCAAGUGAUUCCAAAAGUCCAUCAGUAUGGAGUUUCUUCAUGUGCUUUACAUCGAUAUGACCUAAACGGCAGUGCCACAAAUAAGUUGCACUAUCAUUAUCAACUCUGCAUCUUUUGGCUUGGACAUUAUGAAUAUGUGUAUCACUACUAUCGAGAUUCAAUAAAAAUAGACCACUCUUCAAGGGUGCAUGACCAUAAAAGAUAUUACUCAUAUAAAUAGAAUAACCAUUAUUCUUUGAUUUAAAUGAAUAACCGUCUCACAUCAAACAAGAUCCAUAUAUAAUGUUCAUGCUCAACGCUGGCACCAAAUAACAAUUAUUCGGGUCUAAGACUAAUCCCGAAGGUAGAUGUAGAGGUAGCAUGCCGACCGCGAUCACAUCGACUUUGGAACCGUUUCCCACGCGCAUCGUCACCUCGUCCUUGGCCAGUGCUCACUUAUUCCGUAGUCCCUGUUUCAAGUUGCAAAUAUUAGCAACAGAACCAGUAUCAAAUACACAAGUGCUACUACGAGCUCUAGUUAGGUACACAUCAAUAACAUGUAUAUCACAUAUACCUUUGUUCACUUUGCCAUCCUUCUUAUCCGCCAAAUACUUGGGGCAGUUCCGCUUCCAGUGACCAGUUUGCUUGCAGUAGAAGCACUCAGUUUCAGGCUUAGGUCCAGACUUGGGUUUCUUCUCUUGAGCAGCAACUUGCUUGUUGUUCUUCUUGAAGUUCCCCUUCUUCUUCCCUUUGCCCUUUUUCUUGAAACUAGUGGUCUUGUUAACCAUCAACACUUGAUGCUCCUUCUUGAUUUCUACCUCCGCAGCCUUUAGCAUUGCGAAGAGCUCGGGAAUUGUCUUGUUCAUCCCUUGCAUAUUAUAGUUCAUCACGAAGCUCGUGUAGCUUGGUGGCAGUGAUUGGAGAAUUCUGUCAAUGACGCUAUCAUCCGAAAGAUUAACUCCCAGUUGAAUCAAGUGAUUAUUAUACCCCGGACAUUUUGAGUAUAUGCUCACUAACAGAACUAUUCUCCUCCAUCUUGCAGCUGUAGAACUUAUUGGAGACUUCAUAUCUCUCAAUCUGGGCAUUUGCUUGAAAUAUUAACUUCAACUCCUGGAACAUCUCAUAUGCUCCAUGACGUUCAAAAUGUAGUUGAAGACCCGGUUCUAAGCCGUAAAGCAUGGCACACUGAACUACAGAGUAGUCAUCAGCUUUGCUCUGCCAGACGUUCACAACAUCUGGUGUUGCACUUGCAGCAAGCCUGACACCCAGCGGUGCUUCCAGGACGUAAUUCUUCUGUGCAGCAAUGAGGAUAAUCCUCAAGUUACGGACCCAGUCCGUGUAAUUACUACCAUCAUAUUUUAACUUUGCUUUCUCAAGGAAUGCAUUAAAAUUCAACGAAACAACAGCAUGAGCCAUCUAUCUACAACAAACAUAGACAAGCAAAAUACUAUCAGGUACUAAGUUCAUGAUAAAUUUAAGUUCAAUUAAUCAUAUUACUUAAGAACUCCCACUUAGAUAGAUAUCUCUCUAGUCAUCUAAGUGAUUACGUGAUCCAAAUCAACUAAACCAUAACCGAUCAUCACGUGAGAUGGAGUAGUUUUCAAUGGUGAACAUCACUAUGUUGAUCAUAUCUACUAUAUGAUUCACGCUCGACCUUUCGGUCUCUGUGUUCUGAGGCCAUAUCUGCAUAUGCUAGGCUCGUCAAGUAUAACCUGAAUAUUCUGCGUGUGCAAAACUGGCUUGCACCCGUUGUAGAUGGACGUAGAGCUUAUCACACCCGAUCAUCACGUGGUGUCUGGGCACGACGAACUUUGGCAACGGUGCAUAUUCAGGGAGAACACUCCUUGAUAAUUUUUAGUGAGAGAUCAUCUUAAAAUGCUACCGUCAAUCAAAGCAAGAUAAGAUGCAUAAAAGAUAAACAUCACAUGCAAUCAAUAUAAGUGAUAUGAUAUGGCCAUCAUCAUCUUGUGCUUGUGAUCUCCAUCUCCGAAGCACCGUCGUGAUCACCAUCGUCACUGGCGCGGCACCUUGAUCUUCAUCGUAGGAUCGUUGUCGUUUACGCCAUCUAUUGCUUCUACGACUAUCGCUACCGCUUAGUGAUAAAGUAAAGCAAUUAUAGGGCGUUUGUGUUUCAUACAAUAAAGCGACAACCAUAUGGCUCCUGCCAGUUGCCGAUAACUUCGGUUACAAAACAUGAUCAUCUCAUACAAUAAAUAUAGCAUCACGUCUUGACCAUAUCACAUCACAACAUGCCCUGCAAAAACAAUUUAGACGUCCUCUACUUUGUUGUUGCAAGUUUUACGUGGCUGCUACGGGCUUAGCAAGAACCGUUCUUACCUACGCAUCAAAACCACAACGAUAGUUCGUCAAGUUAGUGUUGUUUUAACCUUCGCAAGGACCGGGCGUAGCCACACUCGGUUCAACUAAAGUUGGAGAAACUGACACCCGCCAGCCACCUGUGUGCAAAGCACGUCGGUAGAACCAGUCUCGCGUAAGCGUACGCGUAAUGUCGGUCCGGACCGCUUCAUCCAACAAUACCGCUGAACCAAAGUAUGACAUGCUCGUAAGCAGUAUGACUUGUAUUGCCCACAACUCACUUGUGUUCUACUCGUGCAUAUGACAUCUACGCAUAAAACCUAGGCUCGGAUGCCACUAUUGGGGAACGUAGUAAUUUCAAAAAAAUUCCUAUGCACACGCAAGAUCAUGGUGAUGGCAUAGCAACGAGAGGGGAGAGUGUUGUCUACGUACCCUCGUAGACCGUAAGCGGAAGCGUUAUCACAACGCGGUUGACAUAGUCAUACGUCUUCACGACUUGACCGAUCCAAGCACCGAACGUACGGCACCUCCGUGUUCAGCACACGUUCAGCUCGAUGACGUUCCCCGGGCUCCAAUCCAGCAAAGCGUCGGGGAUGAGUUCCGUCAGCACGACGGCAUGGUGACGAUGAUGAUGUUCUACCGGCGCAGGGCUUCACCUAAACUCCGCGACGAUAUGACCGAGGUGGAAUAUGGUGGAGGGGGGCACCGCACACGGCUAAGGAACGAUCCGUAGAUCAACUUGUGUGUACUAGGGUGCCCCCUGCCCCCGUAUAUAAAGGAGCAAGGGGGAGGCCGGCCGGCCCCUUGGGGCGCGCCAAGGGGGAGGAGUCCUCCUCCUAGUAGGAGUAGGACUCCCCUUUUCCUACUCCUACUAGGAGGGGGAAAGGAAGGGGGAGAGGGGGAAGGAAAGAGGGGGGCGCCGCCCCCCCCCCCUCCUAGUCCAAUUCGGACCAGAGGGAGAGGGGGCACGCGGCCCACCCUGGCUGCCCCUCUCUCUUCCCACUAAGGCCCAUGUGGCCCAUUAACUCUCCCUGGGGGGUUCCGGUAACCCUCCGGCACUCCGGUUUUCUCCGAAAUCACCCGGAACACUUCCGGUGUCCGAAUAUAGUCGUCCAAUAUAUCAAUCUUUAUGUCUCGAUCAUUUCAAGACUCCUCGUCAUGUCUGUGAUCACAUCCGGGACUCCAAACAAACUUCGGUACAUCAAAACUUGUAAGCUCAUAAUAAAACUGUCAUCAUAACGUUAAACUUGUAGACAUGACCUAGAACUAUUCUCGGUCAAUAACCAAUAGUGGAACCUGGAUGUUCAUAUUGGUUCCUACAUAUUCUACGAAGAUCUUUAUCGGUCAAACCGCAUAACAACAUACGUUAUUCCCUUUGUCAUCGGUAUGUUACUUGCCCGAGAUUCGAUCGUCGGUAUCCAAUACCUAGUUCAAUCUCAUUACCGGCAAGUCCCUUUACUCGUUACAUAAUACAUCAUUUCAUAACUAACUCAUUAGUUACAAUGCUUGCAAGGCUUAAGUGAUGAGUAUUACCGAGAGGGCCCAGAGAUACCUCUCCGACAAUCGGAGUGACAAAACCUAAUCUCGAAUUAUGCCAACUCAACAUGUACCUUUGGAGACACCUGUAGAGCACCUUUAUAAUCACCCAGUUACGUUGUGACGUUUGGUAGCACACAAAGUGUUCCUCCGGUAAACGGGAGUUGCACAAUCUCAUAGUUGUAGGAACUUUGUAUAAGUCAUGAAGAAAGCAAUAGCAACAUACUAAACGAUCAAGUGCUAAGCUAACGGAAUGGGUCAAGUCAAUCACAACAUUCUCCUAAUGAUGUGAUCCCAUUAAUCAAAUGACAACACAUGUCUAUAGUUAGGAAACAUAACCAUCUUUGAUUAAUGAGCUAGUCAAGUAGAGGCAUACUAGUGACACUUUGUUUGUCUAUGUAUUCACACAUGUAUCAUGUUUCCGGUUAAUACAAUUCUAGCAUGAAUAAUAAACAUUUAUCAUGAUAUGAGGAAAUAAAUAAUAACUUUAUUAUUGCCUCUAGGGCAUAUUUCCUUCACCUAGGCACUAGGCGAAGGCCAACCGCCUCGCUUACGCCUACCGCUUUUUCCAACCUUGAUGAGAUUGAACUUGUGCCCUCUUCCCUUGUUGCUUGACACUAAUGGCCUUCUUCUUCAAUGGGCAAGAUCUAACAUGAUGCCCUUCUACUUUGCACUUGAAGCAAACAAUCUUGGCCGAAUUCUUGACUUGUUUUUGGCCCUUCCUUUUGUUCAUCUUGGACUUCUUCUUCUUAUUGGAGUUGAAUCCAAGUCCACCUUUGUCAUCGGGGGAUUUUUGCACACUCAAGAUAUUGUUGAGUGUGGAUUUCCCUUGAUGACUCUUUUCCAAGUCUUUCUUCAAAGAAGUGACUUGGGCCUUGAGCUCUUUGAUUUCCUCUACAUGGUUAGUCUCAACACAAGUACUAGAGGAAGUAUAAGCUUCAUCGUUAGAGCAACAAGGCAAGGAAAGCAAUUCAUCACAAGAUGUACCAACAUUGUGAGUAGAUGAAUUACAAGGACUAGCACAUGGCAAUAUACUAUUUUGACUAGAAGUAGUGCUAGUAUCCACAUGAGGCUCAAUCAUGGCCUCAUGAGCUAUCUUUAGCACACUAUGGGAUACUAGAAGAUCAUCAGGAGAGCUUGAGAGCUUUUCAUGACUUUCUUCCAAUUUCCCAUAAUUGCUAGAUAGCACCUCCAGUUGAGCCCGUAGCUCAACAUUCUCCUUCAAAAUGGAUGCUUCACAAGUAAUAGAAUUAGUAGCACAAGCAUCAUCAUUAACAACAAGAGGAGAAGGCAACUUGGCAACCUCUUUUAAAUAAGAGGCUUCAAGUUGGGCAUGAGACUCGGUGAGUUUGAUGAGCUCACCCUUGAUGAAUCUUGAGCCAUUUUCGAGGUGCUCAAAAUCCUCAAGGAGUCUAGCAUGAUAAACUUCAAGCUUAGCAUUUUUAGUUUUGAAAUCGUUGGCCACAUCAAGAGCUCUAUCAUGAGAUUCCCUCACUCUAGAUAAUUCUAGAGCAAAAGUCUCCUCAAGAGAUUUGGAGGUGGUUUGUUCAUGUUCAAGAGCUUGAGAUAGCUCCACGAUCUCAUUUGCGUAAUCACGCCCAUGAGCUUCCAUUUUCUCAAUGGUGACCUCAUGCUCCUCGAGAUGAGAUUCCAACUCCUCAAUAUAUUUGUUGCCCUCAAUGGCAAUGGACAUAAUUUCCAUGAAGUUGGAACAAGCAAUUUUAGUUUUAUGAAGAGCUUUAAAAAUCAUCUCCCCCUUAGUUUUUAAGGAGGCAACAUUAUCAUUCUCUUCAUCAUCAUCCUCAUCAUCAUUAGCAUCAACAUCAUCAUCAAGAGACAUAUUGGGGUACAAAGUAGGAGAUACCUUUGAUGCCUUAGCCAUAAGGCAAAAAGCAAUAGAUGAUGAUGUAGGAUCCCUUGAGGCACCAUUAAACACCACAUCUUGUUCCAUGGAGUGUUCGGUUUCCUCUACAUUGUUAGCACAAUAAUUCGAGGAAAUAGAUGCAUUUUUAUCAUGGCAACAAGACAUAGCAAGCAUAUCAUCAUGCGAUUUAGUCAAGCAAUUUCUACAUGAUAUGCAAGGACUAUCAACACAAGCAUGUGAAACAUUUGGAGUGCUCGAAGUGUUAAAGCCCAAAGAAGGAGCAUUACAAUAAUAUAGUGAUGAAGGAUCAUCCACAAUAAGCAUACUAUCACCAUUGCAAUGACCAACACUACUCACCAUAUCAUUACCUUGUGGCAAACCACAUGUAGGUGAAGUAGAAGAAGUUGAGAAGACUAUACGACCGGAGGUGGAGGGGGAACAAUCAUCCCAAAUAUUGGACACACCAUAUUUAUCUUGAAGCUUUGUCCACAACUCAUGAGCAUCCCGGAACGGCAUGAGUUGAAAAAUAACUACAUUGCUCAAAGCAUCAAAAAGCACAUUAGAAGCUUGAGCAUUGAGAUAAGAGUUUUUCUCAUCCUCUAAAGAUAAUCUUUGGGGAUCCUUUGGAGGAGAAAAACCCAUAUCUACAAUUCGCUCUAAAUUUGGGUCCAUGAGCCUAAAGAGAUUAAGCAUGCGAAUUACCCAAACAUCAAAAUUUGUGCCAUCGAAACUAAGUGUGUCAGAGAAUCCUAAUCCCCUAGUAGACAUCUUUACACUCUAGGCGGUUAAGCCUAAAAAAGAGAGACGAGGCUCUGAUACCAAUUGAAAGAUCGAGGAUGUCGCCUAGAGGGGGGGCUGAAUAGGCGCUUUAAAAUAAUUACGGUUUAGGCUUGAACAAAUGCGGAAUAAACCUAGCGGUUAAUUUGUCAAGCACAAAACCUACAACAAAUAGGUCACCUAUGUGCACCAACAACUUAUGCUAAGCAAGAUAAGCAACUAUGUGAUAGCAAGAUAUAUGACAAAAACAAUAUGGCUAUCACAAAGUAAAGUGCAUAAGUAAAGGGGCUCGGGUAAGAGAUAACCGAGGCACGCGGAGACGACGAUGUAUCCCGAAGUUCACACCCUUGCGGAUGCUAAUCUCCGUUUGGAGCGGUGUGGAGGCACAAUGCUCCCCAAGAAGCCACUAGGGCCACCGUAAUUUCCUCACGCCCUCGCAGAAUGCAAGAUGUCGUGAUUCCACUAAGGGGCCCUUGAGGGCGGUCACCGAACCCGUACAAAUGGCGACCCUUGGGGGCGGUCACCGAACCCGUACACUUUGGAAACCCUUGGGGGCGGUCAUCCGUACCCGUCAAAUUGCUCGGGGCGAUCUCCACAACCUAAUUGGAGACCCCGACGCUUGCCCGGAGCUUUACACCACAAUGAUUGAGCUCCGAACACCACCAACCGUCUAGGGCACCAAGGCACCCAAGAGGAACAAGCUCUAGGGUGCCCAAACACCCAAGAGUAAUAAGCUUCUCAAACUUCACUUCCACGUAUCACCGUGGAGAACUCAAACUGAUGCACCAAAUGCAAUGGCAAGGGCACACGGAGUGCCCAAGUCCUUCUCUCCCAAAUCCCACCAAAGCAACUAAUGCUAGGGAGGAAAAUGAGAGAAAGAACGAAAGAAGAACACGAAGAACUCCAAGAUCUAGAUCCAAGGGGUUCCCCUCACUUAGAGGAGAAAGUGAUUGGUGGAAACGUGGAUCUAGAUCUCCUCUCUCUUUUCCCUCAAGAACUAGCAAGAAUCCAUGGAGGGAUUGAGAGUUAGCAAGCUCGAAGAAGGUCAACAAUGGGGGAAGAACACGAGCUCAAGGGAUUAGGUUCAUUGGGGAAGAAGACCCCCUUUUAUAGGACCUCCCGAAUCCAACCAUUAUGUGCUCAGGUCGUGCACAAGCGGUACUACCGCUUGGAGGAGCGGUACUACCGCUUAGCACGGUCAAAACAGCCCAACGAGAGAGAAAACACGAGUUUUUGGUCCGGAGCGGUACUACCACUUAGGAGCCAUGGUAGUACUUCUCUGGAGCGGUACUACCGCUCAGGAGCCGCGGUAGUACCGCUCUAGAGCGGUAGUAAAAAAUUACAUCCGCUCUAGUCACGGUAGUACCGCUGCAGCCUUUACCAAAACAGCCACAACUUUUGCAAACGGACUCCGAAUUCAAUGAAACCAAGUUUGUUGGAAAGCUAACGACAUGGGAUAACACAAUAUUGAUAGAAAUAUCAAGAAUAAGAAAAUGAGAAAGGUCUUAUAAGAAAAUGGUGAGAACCCUUCAUCGGAUAAGACCGGUAAAACCUCCAACACCGAAAACAUCAUAGAAGACGCAUGCGAACUCCGUUUUCGAUGAACUCAAGCUUGUCAUCAAGAUGACCAUAAGCUCUAAGACUCACAAAUAUAACCAAACAAGAACCAAGAAACAUGAUGCAAGGAUGCAAUGGUUUCAGCUCUCUACUAACGAUACGAUCAAGCUACCAACUUGAGAGCCCCCCUUGAUAGUACGUCAAACGAUCCUAUAACUCAGUCUCCCAACUACCACCACAAGACCGGUAAAAUAGAAAACCUAUCAAGGGAAAAACUUUGCCUUGCACAUGGUCCACUUGAGCUUGAUGAAGACGAUCUUGACUCCCUCAAGUUGGACCACCUUUCUUGAUUGCGUUGGCUCGAUGAAGACUAGAUGAUUGCUCCCCCAUAAUUCACUAUGGGUGAGCCACUCUUCGGCACAUCUUCACAAGUCCAUUGACACCACAAUGGAUGGCAAGAUUCAAGCACUUGAUCUCUUCGUGAUGCUCCACUUGAACUUGCACACGGCAAUCUUGAUGACAAUCACCACUUGAUGUCAUCCUUUCCAUGGGUUGUAUGAUAUCUUCCUCUUGACGCAAGCCCAUGGAUACAUACCUAACCCCACAUACAACUCUCACAUAGACCAUGGGUUAGUACAUAAAGUGCAAUGGACAAUGCUUACCAUACCAUGGGAUCACUUGAUCCCUCUCGGUACAUCUUCUAUGCUUUGUGAGUUGAUCAACUUGAUUCACUAUUGACUUAGUCUUGAUCAACCUUGAAUCUUUGCAACUCUCUUCAUUUGGACGAUGUAUUGAAGGUAAACAUGAAUGAUCACACAACCUUCUUCUUCAAGACAUGCUUGCAAUAAGCUCAACACUCGCAUGAUCAAUCUUUGGAUAAUUCCUUAAUAGCACCUUGUUCAACUCAUAAACUCCUUGAAACCAACACAUGGACUUCAAGAAAAGCCUAUGGACAAAUCCUUCAAAUAUAACUCAAGACAACCAUUAGUCCAUAGAGAUUGUCAUCAAUUACCAAAACCAAACAUGGGGGCACCGCAUGUUCUUUCAGUGAUAAUAUUCGACGAUGUACGGACACCAAGAGAUGAUGUACUUUUGCUUAUAAUUAUUGAAUGCAUGCUAAUUUGAAUACUACUUUAUUUUAUGAUUUGGUUUUGCUUAUUUUAUGAUUUGAUUUUGCUUAUUGAAUGCUCAUAUCGGAUAAGUUCUCCUUCAUUCCCGUGUGCUAGACAAUUCGAUGUAAUAAUGCACUCGGGAAUGAAAGGAGGAGCUACGUACAUCACCGAUAGUCAACCCAUGAUUAAUAAUCUAGUUUAAUAUUAGAAUUAUGAACAUAGGCCGGAAAUGUCGUACUCGGACGACGAAAACCGUCCGGGGGAGUGCGACUAGUGCCACGACGACCGAGGUAUCUGCGACAGGUUCAUUGAGCUGGACGAAGAUCGUCGCUUCAGCAUUAAGCUCGAGGAGACCUUCGAUGUUCAUACGGUACGCAACCGACGACAAUAGUUUUUUUUGUAAUUAAUCAUGACUUCAACUAUUUUAAUCAUGACAACAUUUUUCAUCUUUUCCAAUUCGACUAGCUUAUCCCAUGCUUUGCAAGACGCUAUGUCUUGGAGAGGAUGGGUUUUAAAGACCAUGAAAGUUUCGAAACCAAAAACAUUAUCCUAAGUACCCAUCAUGGUGUGGAUUUUCAAGUAAAGUUGUACAAUGCUCAAAGUGUAACCCAUUUUGGUUGCAAAAAUUGGGAAGCACUUUGCAAGAUAUAUGGUCUUGAUGACGGUAUGCUUGUCACCAUGGAUCUUGGUGAUCCUACAAUCGAGCAAGAGAGACCUUAGAUUUGGGUCCUUGUGGAUACACCUCCAAUUCUUCCCCCAUGUGAGCUUAACAUAAUUAUUAAGUAAUUUAUAUUGUUUAUUUCAAAAUAGUUUACAACUUAUCUCCAUUGACAGCUUAUUUUCAUUCUUCAAAGAAUGUGCGAAAGAUGGUAGACAGAACCUACUACACCGAAGGCUCCGAAUUAACUUAUCAGGAGAAAAAUCAUCUGGUCGCAUUUUGGACUGAUCUUGAGAAUUACAAUAUCUACAAUCAAACUCCUCAACAUUAUGGUCAAUACGUGCCACUAGUGCACGUGUUGAACUACGGUAACUACCAUGGAGAUACCCUGGUAAGAUUAUUUUUUACUAUUACAACAUCUGUGCAUCUUUUUGCACACUUCUAAAACUAGUACAUUAUUGCUAACUACGAAGUUAUUACUAUGUUUUUCAACAGAUAAUCCCGAAUGAUUGUGUGCCUCAUCUGAUGUAUACGCAUGGUAGCCUUCAUGUUUUGAACAUACAACCAGGUCGUCCUACAAAUCUCAACUAUCCAUACCGGAUUUCUAAAAGAAGUGGAGACAUAACAAUCAAAGAAUGGAAAAAAUGUAUGGACAGUCGUAAGGAGCUUCUUGGAAGCAACAAGCAGCGAAGGGCAAGAAUUGGAGACAGGAUGAUCGCCAUUCUUCAUAAUGGAGAGUCAGGGUCUAUAUUGUUUUAUGCUAUUUUACCUUAAGGUUGUUUAGGUCCUACCUGAUACUAAUGAUCAUGUGCUAAGAACAAUUAUGUAGGGUUGGGUUCGAUGACUAUGAGGAUGAGGAUCGUAUGACUUAUUAUUAAUAACGAGUAGAAGUUGUAUGAUGAUGCAUGAUAUUAGUAGGACUUGUUAUUAUAUAUGAUGAUGUAUGAUGCGAGCAUGCAUGAGCAUGUUAUAUCAGCGGGUGAAAUGAACAUAGCAGCAGCGUUGAUAAACCAAGGACGAAGAUAUAAGAGAGGACACUUCUCUCUAUUAGCUAGCUAAUAACAACCUAAAAAUAACCCCCAAAACCCCUAAAGCAGCCACUUUUGGAAAAAAAAAGCAUGGACUUUUGGUCCCGGUUGGUGCCACCAACCGGGACCAAAGGCCCCCCUGACUGGGCUCGAUGGACCGGCCACGUGGAGGCACAUCUGUCCCGGUUCGUGUUUGAACCGGGACUAAUGGGUGGAGGUAUUUGUAACAACCCAUUAGUCCCGGUUCAUGAAUCGGGACUAAAGGCUCUUUCGAACCGGGACUAAUUGGUGUUUUUCUACUAGUGUACUAGCCAGCUCAAUUAGAUUAAUUGUUGUGUAAAAGGAAGCACGUCGCACUCUUUUGACCAUUCCACGAUGUUUUCUUUUUCUCUCUUCUUUGAGGAAUCUCCAUCACUCUCUCGUCCCCCUAUUUCUUUCUUAUUCGUAUUUAUCUUUACGUAAACACGCAAUGACGAUGAUUCAUAGGAAAUAAUCUUAGAUCGAGAAAGAAAUGUAUAAUCAAUGAUCUGAUUUCUGAAAAUGAUACUUUAGUGUGCACUUGAUUUGAGAGGGAUUGGGUAGAUUAGGAAUCUCCAACGUCUGUCCUCCCGCAUUUAACUUUUGAAGAAUGGACAAGAUGCACCAUCCCACAACAUGGUUAUUAUGUAGUUACCGGGCUAGAUGUACUAUAGUUACCAACAUGAUUACUAUGUAGUUAUCGGCCUAAAUGUACUAUAGUUAUCAACAUGGUUAUUACGGAGUUACCAUGCUCGAUGGACUAUAGUUAUCAACAUGGGCUACAUGCGGUAGAAUACACCCCCCCGGUAGCUUAUGUGUAAAUAGCAUGAUAAUUUACACAUCCCAGACCUGAUAACUCAUUCACAAACAUUGAUUACUUUUACCCGAGGAAAAAAAGUUGUUUGAAACCAUCCCCUCGUAGCUUAUGUGUAAGAAGCAUGAUAAUUUACACACCACGGACCUGAUAGACUAUGCACAAACACCGUGAUAAUUUUGACCUGAGAGAAAAAAGUUGUUAAGAACAUUUCUGAUAACUUACGCGUAAAUAAAAUGCUAAUGUAUGCACCGUAGAGUUGAUUAUUCACAUACAAAUGUCGUGUUUACUUUUUGAACCGGGUGAAAAAGUUGUGGAAAACAUACCCCGAUAACUUCUACCUAAAUAGCAUGGUAACAUACACACCUCGGCGUGAUAACUCACGCAAAAACACCGUGGUAACUUUGAUCAAGAGAAAAAGUAGUUGUUGAUACCAUACCCCCAAUAAUUUCCACGGAAAUAGCAUGUUAAUAUACUCAUUGCGGACAUGGUAACUUGCGCACAAACAUCACGACAACUUUUACCAAGAGAGUUUUUUGUUUGAAACCAUACCCUUGGUAAAUUUUGUGGAAAUAACAUGGUAAUAUAUGCACCAUAGACAUGAUAACUAAACAUACACCCGAUAAUUUUUGUGUAAAUAACAUGAUGAUGUAUCAUCGCAGACUUGAUAACUAAUAUUUUAUGUUUAAACACCAUGGUGUCUUUCAUCCAAGGGGAAAAAGUUUUUGAAACAUUUCACCGGUAAUUUCUAUGUUAAAUUAUCAUACUUUCCCAUGCUUUUAACCUUCUUGUACUGUAGUUACCAGCCUUAUCAUGGUAUAGUUAUCAUGUUACUCAGACCAUAGUUAUCACGCUGGUCAUUGCCAAAGUUACCAAGCCAAACUUUAUUUUUUCUUUUGAUAUGGCAGAAAUAAGAAAGGUUCAAAUAACAUUGUCAUUCUACAAAAGACAACAACAAAAGGUGGCUUAGUUGGUUAUUAGGCUCAAUAGGUAUUACAUAGACCUGGGUUUGAAUCCUCUUUCAAGCACUUUUAUUUUCUUUUCAUAUUAUGCAGCGAAAAACCAGAAAAAAUCACUAGCAAUUUACUACAAUUUUUGAGAGAAGGAAAAAAAUCAGUGGAAGCGGGAGAAACGACGCAGCGGGACGAGCUGAAGGAUCGAUCGAAGGUUGUGCAGAUGUGCGGAUCUGUUGCUAAUCACGAGUCGACUGAUGGUUAGCACAGUCCUUAUAAUAAUGAAAUACAUGGGUUUGGUCUAUUUUGUUUGGUUUUCGUUCCAUGCCGACAAUUCCAGCUUUCAUCUUCCAAAGCAAACAAGACGACUUUUGCAAGCGGAGAGAACGUGUUUCGGGGACUAUCCCCCGCACGUGUGUCAUCACUUCUACCUCGAGAACAAGCUGAGACGUGGCAUCCCGGACGCGUCCAGUAGCUGCACACGUCCGGCCUCUCUUUAAUGGGGAGUCACUAGUCACCGGCUCCCGCCGGCCAGCCCACUCAUGCCCGCACACGUAGUGCCUCCGGCGAUCAUAUCCCCUCGCCGCAGACGGCUUAUAAAUUGGGCCUCGUGCUGCACCUGCUUCCACAACCACAAGGUGCAGCUAAGUGAUCAAGUGAGCAAGACAACACACCAGAUUUCUAAGGGAAUCAAGAUCAGCAUCUGUGCAAGAUGGAGCACGGCCAGGCGACUAACCGCGUCGACGAGUACGGCAACCCGGUGGCCGGACAUGGCGUCGGCACCGGCAUGGGGGCGCACGGCGGCGUGGGCACCGGCGCGGCCGCUGGUGGGCAUUUCCAGCCCACGAGGGAGGAGCACAAGGCCGGAGGGAUCCUGCAGCGCUCCGGCAGCUCUAGUAGCUCCAGCUCGGUGCGUGUACAUACACUUCUUGCUUGUUGCUAACACUAGUUGUAAUUUGCAUUUUCCCGUUUAAAUGCAUCAACGACUGAAUUUUCUCGUUCGUCGUGAUAGUCUGAGGAUGAUGGCAUGGGCGGGAGGAGGAAGAAGGGCAUCAAGGGGAAGAUCAAGGAGAAGCUCCCCGGUGGCCAUGGCGACCAGCAACAGACCGCUGGCACCUAUGGGCAGCAGGGUCACACCGGAAUGACCGGCACCGGGGCGCAUGGUACAGCAGCCACUGGCGGCACCUACGGGCAGCAAGGACACACCGGAGUGACCGGCACGGGGACGCACGGCACCGACGGCACUGGCGAAAAGAAGGGCAUCAUGGACAAGAUCAAGGAGAAGCUGCCCGGACAGCACUGAGCGCGGCCCGCGGCAGCUACUUGAGAGUUGGGGUGCCGAGCUGGCCACCUUUGCAGAAUAAUAAGAUGGAGAUACAGUAGAACUUCCCGAAAUAAAGUGAGCUAGCUCACUCGUAAUAUCCGAGUUCUGAGUUUAGUGGACUUGAAUUUGGGUUGCUUGCUUGUAUUUGUAUGUACCCGGGACGUUUUGCACUCUGUACUUCGAUGUGUGAUUUUUUUUUGGUUGCAUUGUGUAUUUAUUAUAUGGGGAUAUACUGCAUUAUAUUUUGGUCUUUACUUGAGCUUUCUAUGUUAUUGCAUUUUUCGAAAUUUUGUGAGACAUAUUGUACAUUGCAUGGUAAAAUGUUUUAAGAGAAUUUGGAGCAUUCUAGGCAAUUG